rnacentral:lncRNA from 1 species
UUUUUUUUUUUUGUCUUUUUCGAAUUUAACGCUCCUAAUUGUAUUAUCUACACCCCACAUCUUAUAUACACAUACAAAACCCAUCUAACUAAUCAACACAUCCUAUUUAAUUUUGGGUGUAAUUGUUCCAAAAGAAGUUAUCGUAACCCUUUAGUCUUAAUUUCUUUCUUUCUUUUUUUUGGGAAAAGUUUUCUUUUUCCAAUUUAUUGGUCACAAAUCCACUAAUUCCAUCUACUACACACAUCCUACAUACACAAACAAAACCCACCAAAAAAUAAUUUACACAUUCAAACCCCAAACAACAACAAAAAUGCCAAAGCCACAAGGAAAACCACAAACCAGCCUACUAAUUACUAAACCAAAGAUAAAAAACAAUUUCAGACAAAUCUUGAUCUCAAAAUUCCGGUAGAAUGCUAUUUUAUCCUUUUAUACUGCGCUUCGGUUCAGUUAAGUUAGGCGUGAAACCAGCUCACCGGAUGUCAACACGGAGACGUCUUAGUUCAGUUAGGAAAGUAGGACUUGAAGUGAGUGUCCUAUGAGCAAGACUUCUUAUGUCUUCUCUUGAACAGUCUCUUGAGAUCCUCACCAGCUCCCAUAUCGCUCCUUCCUUCACCAUCUCUUUCGCAUUUCCUUCUGCAAAACCCGAUAUUAUGUGUUACAAUUAUGACCAUAUUAUUAUUACACGGGACAAAAACCAAUCAAUUUGUUCAAUGUAUAUAUAUUAUAUGAACUUAACACACUUACCGUGUUGUGCUAAGUGACAGAGAGCUAGCUCGAUGUGUCGUCUUAUGGCUGCAGUUUCGGUUUUGGCAUUUUGUACAAUCCAAGAGAGUGCACCGUCUUCUAUUAAUAGUGACUUCCCUCUUUUAGUUCCUGCUAAGUGAAAUGCAUUUAGUCAAUACAAUGUUUCACGUUUGCCAAAGACAAUAUCGGAUAAGUUAAUAAGGUUUGUACCUUGGUUUGAUGCUCUUGACUCGCAUUUCGCAAAGUUAGCGAUCCCUCGAGCAACUUGUGCAAGAACAUCAGGAUGUCCACAUCUGACCAUCCCCAACAAAGCUGCAAUUCCACCUUCUGAUCUUAGUUUUGUCUGCAAUUUAUCUGUGGGAUGCAAAAACAAUCCAAUGUAUUAUCAGGAUUUAACCAAUAUUAUAUAGCUUGUGAGUUCUUUUUCAUAAUAAAGUGAGCAAAAAGAGAGGUGAAUCGAAAAUACCGUUUCCACAAAGAUUUGCAAUUGCUCCAGCAACCAUCCUGAGGGUCUGAGGAUCUUCAGCAUUGGCUGCCGUUGAUGACAAUAAACCGAUGCCUCCUUGAUCCAUGAUCAGCUCCUGGUUAGUUUCUGUGAAUAAGAAGAGCAAAUAGGACUUGGUUUCAUUAACAAAAUACUAAGAUAUGAGAUGAUAAACUAAAGAAUUUAACUCAUGAUAACCACAAUUUUUUUUACCAUUCAUUGCAAGAUUAGCGAUUGCACCAGCUGCAACUCUGUGAAUAGUCUCAUCUUCUGUAUUUUUCAGAAGCAUCAGCAAGGAGGUAAGACCACCAGCUUCCACAAUUUGUUGCUGGUUUGCCUCUGGAGUUACAUACAAUGAACAGUUGAUUGAAAUAAUGAGCCUCUCAAAUAGUAGCAAGCAAUUACAAAAUAAAAGGCAAAAGGAUGAAGAUUGCGGAAAGACACCUUCAGCAGCCAGAUUUGCUACCACUUUAACAGCAUGAAUCCGUACAUCAGCAUCUUCAGCUUCAAGCAGAGACAAGAUCUUUUGCAACCCCACUUUAAGAGGCAAACAUGUACAAGGUGUUAUAUAUGUUUUCCUGUAAUGUAACUGGUAACAAAACCAACUGAUGGUGUGAAACGUCAGAACUUACCUUGUUCAAACAGUCUAGCUACAGGAGGUUUCUCAGCAUUUCCUGGAUCUUGAAUCUGAGGAAGUCUUAACUGAGACAUUAAAGAAUCUCGAGGACCAGAAGUUUUCUCUGAACCAUGUUGCUCAAGGUUUCGUCGAGUCUGCCAAAAAUAUAUAUAAGGAAUUAAGUAAAAAUGGAACAACUUGAUACAUAAGGAGCAUGCAUUUUUAUGUGAAAGAUCCCUGUUAUGCUCUUUACCUCGUCAGCAGUAAGACUCAAUUGCAGUAGUUGAGAAUGCAGUGUAGCUAUUUCUCCUUCUAGUUUUUCUUUUUGUUGUGUCUCGUUUUCCAACAUCUUGUGGAGUCUCAUGAUCUCAGAAUUUCCAGACACCUAAGCAAAUAAAGCAAUUGUAGCUCAAUAAAAACUUCGAGCUGAAAAUGAACAAUCCACAAAAAAAACUUGUUACAGGAAGGUUUUCGAAAUAUACUUCCACUUUUUUAAAUUCAUUGAGCUGUUGUUUCAGCCUAUUCACUUCCUCUUCAGCCGCCAUCUUUGACUGCGCUUCUUUCUGAAGCAACUUUUUCAGUUCAGAGACUUCCUCUAAGGCUGGGGCUAUUGAUCUCUGUAAGAAAAGAAAGAAAAUAUGUAAAUCAGGUGGAGUGAAUGAUGCAUCCAUAGCCGCAAGGUGAACAAAAUGUCAUGCAUUACAUUUCCAUUUGAUGUGAUGUCCAGUCCAUUUUUCUCUCCAAGCGCAAGUCUUUCAGCAGCCAGCUUUUUCUGAUUCUUUGACCAGUUCUCCUCCAGCUUCUUUAUUGAUUCCAUGUAAUCAUUCUGAUACCUUUGCUUUUCAUCCUACAAAAGGAUAUGAUUACUGAAUCAUACACCAACGAUACAUCUCAAUAGCAAAAGUCUUGUUGCAUCAUCUUACAAAAAGUACUCACCUCUAGUGCAUUGGCAUAUCUCGAUUCAGCCUCAGAAAUUUGGUUAUGUGCCUCUACGGUUAUUCUUUCGAUUUCAUCAACGAAUGCUUUCUGCUGCCUUUCAUUUUCCUCGAUUAGAUUGUCUAGUUGUAUCUCUAGUCUCCUAGACAAGCUUUUGUAAUCAAACUCUUCCUUUAACUUCACCAUGUUCUCCACUUUCAUAGCCUAUAGAUACCCAACCGUUAAAGGUAGCCAUCAAAAUAAGCAAAUUAAGAAUUUGAAAUAGCAAGCAGUGAACUAAUAUAUUACACGUUGAAAACGUGGAACAAAAAAAUUCAACUGGACAGUACCAUCAUAUACCAAUUGUAAUCAAAAGAGCCGUGCUAAUAGUCUUCAUACUGUAUAUCAUUAACCGUAAAUGCAAUAAUCAAACAAAAAAGAAGUCCAAAGCUAUAGGCCCUACCCUCUGCCCAAACAUUAUAGUGCUUGUAGUCUCCCCUCGAUGUCGUGGUGAUGGACCAAUCGUAAUAACUAAGGAAGUCCUUGCAGUGCCUGUUGAGAUCAUAGGCCACAUGUCAAGCAAGUCAACAAAGUACAUGCGGGAAAGGAUUCAAUAUUAUCGCUUAAUACUAAGAUAUACAGAUGUGCACACUAAUGCAGAGACAAACUUGCCUCCAAAUGAAUCUCUAAGCAGUCUAGUUAGCUUUGAAUCACGGAAUGGAACAUGAGAACUGUUUUCAGCAAGUGCAUUGAUGCAUUUCCCCAGCGCACUCAGAGAGAGAUUGAUAGAUUUGGCUUCCUCUAGUGUAUGUCCCUCACUUCCUGGUACAAUAUAUAAAUAAACAUAAGUUCAGAAAAAAGAAGACAAAGAUGGAUAUUAACACAAAGUUGUUCAGUAUAACUUUGAAGUUUAAGUUGUUAGUUGUCUAAGUGUAAAUGAGGAAUAUAAAAAGUAGGUACUCCUAAAGUCCAUUUACUGAAAAUAUCAACCUGAUUUAUUGAUACGUUCCGAUCCAGCAAGAUCUACCACAACUAAUUUUCCCUUCCGGACAACAGGAGGCUUGAGAGAUUUAGUCAUAUGGGAGUUUCCAUUACUCUCACUUGACAAACCAUCUCUUGGUUUUAAAGAGCGCCUAACAUUUACCUGCAAUUUACAGUAGUUGGCUAUGAGUAUGCAAGUUUAUUACCAACAACUCUUCAAGCAAAAUCAGGAUCAAUAUUGAUAAUGUUCACCAUUAAGAUAGCAUGACUACGGGAUGACUCUGUGUUCAAUUUGGUGUUAGCAGCGAACCGGUGAUCUUCUCCGAGUUGCAGUAGUUCCAGGAAGCUUUGUUGAUCCCUAAUCUCGACCAAGGUGGCACCUGGAAGUGAAACAUCUCCACUUUUCGGAUCCUCAACUAUGGCAAUGUUAUCAUUGGACGGAUCAAGAAGGUCUUGUACAGUCUCCAUAUAAAGCUGCAUUUACAUCCAGCAAACAAACAUUAUUAAGACUUUCCAAGAAGACACAUGAGACUUAACAGUAGAACAGUAUAUAGAAAUAUAAGCAACCUGCAGAUAGGAGACAGAUAUAGAAUCAGUCUCCAAAGACACUUCGGCUAAAAUGUCCUCCAUAGCACGGACCAUUAUUCCACGAUCAGCUACGUCUUCUUCCCCGAGCUGCCCUAGUGUAUAUGUCUUACCAGUACCGGUCUGACCAUACGCCAUUAUUGUCCCAUUGUAACCAUCCAAAACACCCUACACUCAAAUUCAUCUUAUUGUUUCAACAACAGAACAGUUCCAAAACUCUGGAACUUUGAUGAAGGUCUAGUACACAUCUAAUAUAUUACCUCCACAACAGGUUUUGCCACAACUUCAUAAACCCUCUUCUGAGAAGCAUACUCAGUAAGCACUUCAUCAAACUCAAAGGUAUCAGUGUCCCAGUUGUUUUUCCGGAGUUUCAACCUCUUAAGCUAAAAGAAUCAAACAAGAACGUCACAAGAUUGAGCUCUCCACAUUUUCAAAAAAAAAUACAAACAUCAAGUGUAUAAAUCACAAUGUACCUCAGGCUGUAACUCAACACAAUCAGCAAAAUCAGCAUCAGCAAUCAUUUCCUCCCCAUUGCGUGGCCUUAAUCUAACAGCUACUCGAACUCUACCAGGAACUAUAAAAAACAAAAAUCACAACACCAAAUUAUAAUCCAGCUAGAACUUAAUCCAACAUCUCAAACACAUGAUGAAUCAAAAAGUUUAUAUCUUUAAGGAGUAAAAUAAUCGAAACAGUGAAAUUUCUAGGUGAAAAAUAUGAAUUUUGUAAUAUUUACCACCGGCGUCGCCACCGCUUCCAGACUUAGAGCCGCCGGCGCCACCAAGUGCGGCGGGGCUGCUCUUUCUGAGGAGAGACUUGGAUUUGAGAGAAGAAGGUUUGUGAGCAGAGGAAGUAGAGGGCUGAGUUCUGAGUGAGCUUCUAUGAGUACCGUUUCUGUAAUUGACAGCUCCGGUUCCUGAAGUAGUUGACAUUUCUUCUUCUUCAAACGCAUAAAAUCCAAAAAGAAACGACCAAACAAAGUCUAUUGGGAAGUCUUGUAAGAAAACAGAGAGAAGGUUCUCUUCUUUCUUCUCUCGUGUUUCCCUCAAUUUUACUAUUACAAGUUCCCGAGAAAAUUCCUUUACUUUUUUUGCUCGGAGUUUUAAUUUUUCUCGGGAAAAUUCCAAAAGAACAAAAUGAGAGAGAGAGAGAGAGAGAGAGAGAGAGAGAGAGAGAGAGUCUGUGUUGUUGAGUGAAGUGAAGGGAAUCGUGUGAGGAGGCGUGACAACAGUUAAAAAACCAAACAUCAACAACAACAAGUUGGGUCCUAAAGAUUGAUGAUUCAUUUACCUGUUUUGACUUAAAUGCCCUUUGUUGGUCAAGUAAUUUACUCAGUUGGUCUCUUCUCUUCUCUAUAUGUAUGUACGGUACGUUUGUUUGUUGUUGUUGUUGUUUGUUCCGCGUGAACCAAUUUAUUAAUGCUUAGGCAAUGCAAUGCGAGAGCAUCUAACUCUAAUUCCAGUCACGAGAUAUGUCAAAUUUGGCUUACUAAAUUUUUUUGUUAGAAUAUACCAAUCUUGUCUACUAGUAGUAGGGUUCGUGUGUGGUGGUGUGUGGUGUGUGGGUGACUGGUGUAGUCAACCACAUUGUUCAUAAUCAUAUCAUCAUUUCGCCAUAAUACUAUACCUAUAUUUGAAUGAGUUUUUUAAAAAAAACAUUUAAAUUUGAAUUCGUCUCUUUAAAGCAUGAUUAGAGGAUCAAAAGGAACAAAAGUUUUUGGACUGAGAAAAGUGGAAAUUUAAAAAAGAAAAGGCAAUAACAACAAUAAAGGGAUUUCAAGGGUCCCCAUUAAAAAAAAAAGUAAAUUUGUCAAAUCGCCUCUCAAUGAAAAGUUUUUUCCAUUCAAUUUUUUUAUUAAAUAAAGAAAACUUAUUCAUACAGUAGAAGGUGUAUUUUUUAGAUGAAUUGAAUCUAGUAUAAUCAUAAUCAAAAUUAUAGAUUGGUUAACUCAAUAUCAAAUUAAUUCUGAGAUGUGUAAGUCCUUGUAGACAUGGUCCAAAACAUCAUGAUUUUUUCUAUAUCAAAAAGCACCGAUCGUAAUUUUAAAAAAAAAACAUUUUAAUUGAACAUGUUCAAAUAGUACUCAUAGAAGCUCACUCAGAACAUAAGUAUUUCAUAAUCAAAUGUUAAAUGAAACCUUCUUUUUUAUUUUUUGUCAUUCUAGUGCUCUAUUAGUCUAUCUAUAUACUGCAGCAUUGAUGUAUAAAGAGGGAAACUUAUUCAAAGCACUCAGUAUAUUUGUACUCGUGUAGGGGCCUUCCUCAACUAGCCUGGACUUACUAAAAGUGAGAGUUAUAUUCAUUCACCCAACAAAAGAGUUUUCUUUUUUAUUCUAGAUAUUAUUAAAAGGUCGUUUUUUCGUUUCCUCUUUGUAAUUUCAGAAUCAUGUAUAAUUAUUGAUCAUAUUGGAUAGUGAUAUAUACUAGACACAAACACACAAAAACGUUCUGAAAGGUUAUACAACUGAUGCAAGGUCAGAUCAUUUGAUAUUUUGCAUCAUGACAUGGGCCUGAAAGUGGUUUUCCAAAGGUUGCAAUGUCGCAAUAAGGUCUUCCUUCAUCUUCCCACUAUUUCUUUAUAUAUAAGAGAAAAAUUAUAAAAGCCUUAUAGCAAACAAGUACAAAACAUACUUCACAGUUGAAAAUAUUAAAAGUCUUUUACAUAUGUUCAUUUGUUAGGUUUUUUUAUACAGACAACUAUAGUGCAUUACUUUUUCUCUCUUUGCUUUUUGUAAAUUGUUUGAUAAGAUCCGGAAUAUGGACCCAAGAUUUGUAAUGUAACCAUCAAAGAAGUGAUGGUGAAAACAACAGUUUACCAUAUCAAAAGGACACAAGUUAUAUAUCAUUUCUUCUUCUUUUUCAGUUCAUACCAAAGAAACAGUCUUAUCUCAACUCCUAGGUUAAGCAAUCUCAGUUUUGACAUCACAAUUUUAAUUUCAUUCAAUUCUCGGUUAAGAGUUUAGACAAUAUAAAAACUGUAUUGGAAAUCAAAUCUAGUUCAUAGUGCAAAAUUUCAGAUCAUUUCAGCGGCCCUGCAAAGACAUUAAUAUAUUUGGAUAGAUACUCCUUUAAUAGAAAACAGAUCGGAUACAACUAUUGGACUUGAUUGUAGACAGCGACAUGUUCAAUACACACCAUUCAAAGAUCUGCAUUGGCCCAUUGGCUAAUUCAACCAGCCGUUUUAACUGACCACCAGCUUCAACUACAACUCCUGCUAUCUUUUACUACUCUGAAUCCUAUUAAUCAAACCAUCUUAAUAGAGUCUACAAUCUGCAAUCCUGGCCAUAACCGAGCCCCUUCAAAUCUAUCAAGUAAAGUGCGAUGACAGAAAUCAAUGAUUUAUUCAUUCACUGAAUGCUAUCACCUAAACUUCAAGACAUCUCUUAAUAUUUCCAUGGUUUGAUGCAGAUAAACUACUUUGACAACUUCAAUCAUUAAUCAUCCAUAGGCUAUAUACAAACUCCACUUAUUCCAAGUUCUACAACUAUAAAUGAAUCAAACUUUCUCCAGGUAAGAAGAACACUAAUUUCCCCAGCUAAGACGAAGUAGCAAAAUCAAUAACUCAUUCAAUCCAGGACACUUAAACACCUCAACUAAAGACAUCCAACUCUUCCAUGGUUCAAUACAGAUACCCUACACGACAUCUUCAGUUUCAGAAUCAUCAAGUUACAUAGUUUACCAACCAUAAGCUAUAUAUAAACCCCACUUUUUCACUACAGAUAAACUCCCAAGACGACAUCUUACGUUUCACAACUAUCAAGUUACAUCCUUUAUCCACCAUAAGCUAUAUACAAACCCCUCUUUUUCAUAACUCCCAUAUAAACAAAUCAGAGGUAUCUUCCAUGGCUUGAUACAACUAUCAAGUUACAUACUUUAUCCACCAUAAGCUAUAUACAAAAUCCACUAUUCCAUAACUCCACUAUAAAACAAACCACAGGUAUCUUCCACGGUUUAAUACAACUAUAAAGAUACUUACUUUAUCCACCAUAAGCUAUAUACAAACCCACUUUUUCAUAACUCCACUAUAAAACAAACCAGAGGUAUCUUCCACGGUUUGAUACAGAUAAAUUCCCUGGAAGACAUCUUCAGUUUCAGAGCUAUCAAGCGACACACUCAAUCCACCAUAAGCUACAUACGAACCCCAACUUCUCAAUAAGUCCCCUAUAAACAAACCAAGAGAAUCCUAGUAGUAAGAUACAUCAAUAAGAACAUUCAACUCCUUAAGACGAUACCUUCAGUUCAGAACUAUCAAGCUACGCACUUUUAUCCACCAUAAGCUACAUACAACCCCAAACUUGUCCAUGAAUUCCCCUAUAAACAAGCCAAGACAAAUUCAACAACUUCAAACGAUUCAACUUCCUCCAGGUAAGAAGAAGUAAGCUCUAACAAUAAAGAACACAAAUCUUCUGAUAUAACGAACAAAUUUUAUUACAGAACAACAAAUCCAGCGUUCCAAAUCAUGAAAUCACAUAUAAUAGCAAACCCUAACUUCCUAAGAAACCCUAGAGAGCAAAUCAAACGAUAACAAGAGCAUAAAAAAAAAAAGAGCCAAAGCAACCAACAUCACGAUCCUUUGAAAACAAAGAGAACACAAGCAGACAUUUUUGUCUUAUCACCAAUUCAUAUCCUGUCAACCUUAUCAGCCUUCACCACAGGAUUGGACUUAGCAAUAGCUUCUCUGGCCACUCCUUUGAAAUCGAAUUCGCAGUCAUGAGUCUCUGGAUAUCUAUGAGCUCCACAGAAAGUGCUCCCACACUUGCACUUGAAACCCGUCACGCCCACUUUCUUGUUGCAGCUCAAGCAUCUCGUGGCCGUCGAUUUCGGCGGAUCCACGGGAGCUGCUCCGUCGCCGCUCGUUGAUGAUGAUGAGGACCCGGAUUCGACAACGCCGGAAGUGACAUCCUUGCUCUGUUGUGGUUGGAUUUUGGGUUUGUUAGGGUUUAGCGAUUUCUCGACGGCGGCUUUAGCAGAAGCGGCUUGCUCCUCCUUGGCUCGGAUGUCUCUGUAGCAUUUGGAACAGAGGUUCAUGUUCGAUGGACUUCCGAAGAAGCCACAGCCAUUGACGCAGAGCUUUGGCUCUGAGGGACAGAAGCUUGUGCCGUCGUUUUGCUCGGAACCCAUAAUUGAGAAUCGCCCAAACUCUAAAUCGAAAUCCUACUGCAAAUUAAAAAAGAAAGAAAACACAAAUCGUGAAUGGAAGAACAGAUGAUUGGAAUUAGGGUUAGGGUUUUCUUUAAUUUUAUGGUUCCACUUUGAUAGAGAAUCGUCGAGAGAGAAAAAGGGAAAUUGAGAAUAUCAAUAGAUUUAGAAAAUGGAGAUUCUUGGCUUGUUACUCACGCGAGAAAAGACUUAAAAAAUCAUUUAUCUCAUUAUGACGAAAAUACCCAUGGGACUCUUAAUAAAGUUGAGGAGUAAAUGCGUCAUUUAGUCAACUACUCACGACCAGGUCAGCGUGUAACCCAAAAAGACUAUUUCACCCUCACGCCGCAAAAAAAAAAAUGAAAAAGAAUGGUUCUGGAUAUAGAUUAAGGAAUCAAACGAAGAACAAGACCACGAAACACAAAAUCUUCAAAUCUUAAUAGAACAAAACCAGUAAGAAAAUUUACCUGAUUCCGCAAAGCUCAGCAGGCGGAGACCAAAUUUUCCGAUAUCUCUGUCUCUGCGCUUUAGUUUCCGGCGACAAGUCUCGGUAGAGAAAAUAUCUCACCCGGUGUAUAAAUCACAGCAAAAUUACAGACAAGAAGUUCGUGAUUUGAUAGGAGACCGAGACCGUAACCAAAGCCUCUUUAGCUUUUCGCCAGAGAGAAAAAGUUAGACAAAACAGAAACCAGACUCUUUUGGUUCUUUUGCGGUUGUCUAUGUGAUUGUGGUCAAAUGGUUUUAUUCGUAUGCGUUGAGGCGCACGGGAUAUUUUACACAUCGUCUUAUAAUAGUCGUUCGAUGAAACAAACGGAGAGUGAUGAACUCAUCGUUUUAUAAUCCAACGGUAGUGAUUGGAACUUUGUAUUAAAAAGUUGAUAUAAAAAUGGGUGGGGUUGUCGAUACUUUUUUUUGGGUGUUUGUGGAUUACGGAUAAAGUUUUGGUUCUCAGUUCGUGAUAGAUAGAUGAUAAACCGGUUUAUGUGAACCGGGUUUGGUUUGUGGGGACAGGCUGAGCUGGUUGGACGGUGACGUAACAGAGGAUAAAGAAAGGAAAGUGGCGCGUUUGUCCCGACGCGAUUAGUCAGUCGCUCUUUUUUAUUGUGUGUGAUUUGAUUGGGAAUGUGAUGAGGUUGAUGAUUAUGAUGUGAUCCUACUAUGCGCGUACGUACUUAAGAAUGGUAGAUUCCUUCUUCUACGUACCAUUAUGUUACCAAAAUGCUAUGUGGGUGAAAACAUUCGGGUCUUGACAUCAAAUUGAUUAGGUGAUUCACGCAAAGUGUGUUUACAGACAGUAAACAUAUAAUAACGAGUCCUGAUGAGCCUAACACAAAAUUACGUUCUUUUCUUUAAAGCUAAAACUGAACCUGCAUUUUUAUUUUCAGCAAACUACUCUCCUGUUUUUCUCAAACUGAUGUUGUAUAUAUAUGUUCCUAUCCUGUAGUUGUGAACUUGUGAUCUACACUUCUAAAUAUAUGUCUAUGUUUGAAAUUGACUUAUGUAAGAAUCGGAUAUAUAUAUAUAUAACUUCUUAUGCUCUUCAUUGGUGCUUCGUGUUAUUAGUAAUAUACAAAUGUCCACUUACAAGAAACUUAAAUUAUUUAGGGACCAAUUUUAUUUUAUUUUCAUUUGCUUCUAAGUAUCAUAUUUGGGUUGCUUUUCAUUGUCUUGUUUCCCUCUUUCUCUUUGAUGCUUCAAAGCAACUAAAUUUGAAUGAUUUACAUAUAUCGUUAGUCGUUAAUUGUAUAGUUUCAUCAAUCAUCAUGAAGCAUAUGUUAUCCAAAACUAAUUAUAUUUUUACACAUCUCAUCAAUAUUAGUUUUUGCAAAAAAAAAAACAAAGUUAGAAAGGAACAUCCGAACAUACAACAUGUAUGAUGUACCCACCGUGACGGCAAAGCGAAUAUAAAGCGAAGGGACUCAACUCUCAAGACUCGAGAGCAACGCAACUCGCUUAGCCAUAUGAUUGACUCGGCGCUUCGUGAGCAAAACAGCUAUUAGCCAACCAUAUGUCUCCACUUGUCUGAUUGCGACACCGGUUUAAUAAUUUGAAAGUAAACCACCUAAUUAUUGGGAUAUUAUUCUUCCUUUUUAAAUUAUGGUAAUGAAAUAAUAUGAUUCAGAUGCUUCUAUCUUCUAAACCCAUUCGCUCUCUCCGAUCACCACCAUUUGAUCUAACGGUCUCAUUACUCUUAAGGAAACCGAAGACAAAAACAGAGGCGCAAAACGAAUCUGACGGGAAGCUUUUCAGAUAUUUUUUGUUUUUGUUUUGGGAAAAAGGAUUCAUUUUUUUUUAGGGUAAUCUUCUCUCGAUCUAUGACGUACAGCAAUGGCGUCGAUGGGACGGUGCCUGAGCUGAAUUUGAGAGCCGAAAAUGGUGAUUAUGUGAAAUUGAGAGGAGGAUCGGAUGAAGAAGAAGGUUCAUCGGCGGAAUCAUCAUCAUCAUCAUCGGGAUGUUCGAUUGGAUCGGUUACUUCUGUCUGGUUCUGGGUGAAAUUGAUCUCCCUGGGCGUUUGUUUGGGUUCUUUGGCUUUUGUAAUUAUCAAAUGGAUUGGUCCCUUUUUGAUCGAAAAGGUUGGUUUUUUAUUUUCUUUCUGUCGAAGAUCUGAUGCUUGCUUAUUGGUUGCAUUUGAUUGAAUUAGGAUAUGCGUAAGGAUUCUAGCUUCUUCUGGUGGGUUUUGAUUUUUUGAAAAUUAGGGUUCUUGUGUCUUUACAUUGAGAACAUGUAUAAGUUCAUUGAAUGCCAAAUUUUGGCGCUGUAUAACCUAUUAACACCAGAUAAUUUGUGAGCUCAGCCACCAAAGCUUGGAAAUUUCGUCCAAUUCUGCAAAAUGUAAAUUGUCUGUGGUUUGCCAUUUUGUAUAGUAUCGAUGAGCUCUAUUUGGUGUUUUCACAUCUACUAUGUUUACUUGCUGUUCCAAACGUAUCUGUAGUUUCACUUGUGAUGUUAGACAUUGUUUAUUGGGAGGUCUGUGGCGUGGCUGCUGUCUUUAUACUCCAUUGCAGCUCACCAGCGUUAAGUUUGAAUGUAAAUUUGUACAUAAAUUUGAAUUACUUGAAUGGAUUUGCAGCAUUUUGUGUAUGUGUUUGUAAAGUGAUCCAUUUUGAUGUUUGUCAAUAUCAUGCAAAUUUUGAGAUCUGUGAUAGUCUAAUAGAGUUGGUCUCUUUAUGUUAUGAAACGUGAAGUAUAUCCUCAUAUAUGCUGCUGUGUUUACAUAUUACGUUUCAGGAACUGAUUCCAUUUAUAAAUUGGGUGAGAAACACUUUCAGCAUUCCAAUUCUCGGUCUUCUACUCUUUGCCUCGGUGGCAUUGUUCCCAAGCAUUCUUCUUCCAUCUUCUCCUUCCAUGUGGAUGGCUGGUCUUACAUUUGGUUAUGGAAAGGGGUUUCUAUUGAUUUUCUCAGCAGCAUCAAUAGGUGUUACUCUUCCUUUCUUAAUCGGACAUCUCUUUCUCCACAAGAUGCAAGUAAGCAUCAUCUCAAACACUGGAAUCUUGUGCACUCUUUGGCUUGAAUACUUAUUAAACUAUAGAUGAUCAACUUGGCCAUUUUCUUCCUGGUCUUUUGUGCAGGAAUGGCUGAAGCAAUAUCCGAAAAAAGCAGCCAUACUUAGAGCUGCUGGUGAAGGAACAUGGUUUCAUCAGUUUCAAGCAGUCACUCUAAUCCGUGUCUCUCCAUUCCCUUACAUAAUAUACAACUACUGCGCAUUAGCGACUGGAGUUCACUACGGUCCAUACAUCUUAGGGUCUCUUGUUGGAAUGGUUCCUGAGAUCUUCGUCUCAAUUUACACGUAUAUGCCUCCUUCUCUCUGCCUCCUGUCUCUGUGUUCAGACAUGUUUCUGCAGAAUCUUAGAUUGGUGUUUUUUUUGGUUAUAUGCAGGGGAAUAAUGCUAAGAACACUAGCAGUUGCAUCAGAUGAGAGACACACGCUUUCGGUUGUGGAGAUAGUCGUGAAUGUUGUAGGAUUCUGUGUAACUGCAAGCGCAACUAUAGUCUGCACAAUCUAUGCAAAGAAGAAACUAAGUGCAAUGCAAGCAGAGGAAGUGGAGACGCUACAAAGUCCAAUACUUUAACUCUUUUCACCACGAAGCGCUUCGUUACCACAACAUGCCCCCAUCUAACACGACUUGAAAUUGAUCUCAUAAUAUAUAUGUUUUGUUUUCUUUUUGUUAUUCAUCUUCAUUUGAAAAUGAAUAUUUUUAUGUCUUUUUCUUGUAUAUAAUAUAUAUAUCAACUGAAUUUUGAAAAUUUUCAAUGUAUAUUGAUUAGAUCAUCUAAACUCUUUUCAAUCUACUACUUUUUUCUUCUUCUUGUAGUACAAUAAUAAAAGUGACGUUAAUACUGUAAAGAGAUUCAAUUAAAUUUCCCGACACAAAGCAUGAUUGGAAACUGGAACAAGACAUCUAUGAAAAUGGUUACAAAGGCAAAAUAAUUUACUAUGACAAGUGUACAAUGGUAAUGAUUUUGAAUUGCUAUUCAAUGACUCAUCUUGAAGAUUGUGUGUCCUCUCUAUGCUUUGAUGAAUUAUCUUUUAUCCAUCAAUGAGCCUCUCAGAGAACUAAAUCAAAAAAAUCUUCAACAUAAUCAUGAACAAAAACAAAAUAGAGAAGCAAACUCAAUGAAAUAAAACAGAGAGAAGAAAAGCCACAGAAACAAACAAAUGACAGAAAGACGUUUUUGCUUUUUUGGUCACUCACUCAUCCGUCUCUGUCUCUAAUUCUCUUCCCCUUUUUAAAAAAGCCCAUAAGUUUCCAAAAGUUUCAUUUGGAAUUGGACCUCUUAACUUAUUAUGAAUUAACCCCAACACAUAUCACAAAUUAUAACUACCCUGAAUGAUGAUCAUCAAAAGCCAUGUAGAUUCAAGAUUGCCUUAAAAUCAACUCAUUCAUGUACUAUAAAACUUGAAAAUAUGUAAAUAUAUAUACUCCCAAGUCCCAAUAGUUUCUGAUCAUUUGAAUAGAAAUAUUAAAUGUACAAUUCUCUGUACACACAUUCAAUAUGUUUGCAAUGGGGACCAGACCAUAACUACUUGUUUUUCUCUUUUUUCUUAAAAAAAUCGGUAUUUCUAGAAUUUUAUUCACACAAUUUGUGAAAACAAUUAGGUAGGGAUUGUUUAAUGGCAUGAUAGUUGGUGAAAGAGAGAAUAAAUGCUUUGGUAGAAGAACAGACAAGCAGACACUCUCCUUCCAUUACAUAUAAUGUUUACUUAUACACAUAUAUGACAUUGUAUGUAUCGAACAUAUAGACGAUGAACAAAGCAAGGCACGUGCUUCUUCUUCGUUUGGUGGAAGCCAGAGAGAGUGAGAGAAUUUAAUUCGUUCAUUAAGUUAACUUUCCAGCCAAGGCACACACAUUACUCUUCUUCUCUAUAAUGCAAGAUGAGCUCAGUUCUGUCCUGAACAACCACCUUCUUAUUUUAUUUUUUCAGUUGUGUUUGGUUCACAAACUUGCAAAAACCCCACAAAUCUGGUUUAUUCUCUGUUCAUGGGUAGUUCUUGAAUCUGUGAUUCUUUCUUCUUUUGUCGUUUCUUGGAGAGUGUUGACUUUGGUCGGUAGAUUUUUUUCUUCUUUCUUUCUAGCCGUUAAGGAUGACUUAAAUAAAUGCAGAAGCAGCUCAAAAGUUUUAAGCUUUAGCUCAAUCCCAAGAAAAAAAUCAACCGUUUAGUUUCACAUUUCGGUUCAUAAAUGCUGCUACUUGUUCUUGAUUCUGGUGUUGAAGGACGGAUCCCAAUUUGGAGCUCAAGAUUGUAGAUUAUCAAACCGGGUUCAGUUUCGGGUUCGGGUUCGGAUCCUGAACCGAGAAUGUCAUUUGGGUAGACGCCUUUAUCAGCUGAACAUGAGAAAGGUUCAUCUUUUUCUGGUUUUGUUAACUCUCACCUACAUUUCAGCUGCUCGCUCUGAUACAAUCAAUGAGCGAGACGUUUUGCUUCAGUUCAAAGACAGUGUCAGUGACGAUCCGUACAACAGCUUGGCCUCUUGGGUCUCCGACGGCGACCUCUGCAACAGCUUUAAUGGAGUCACUUGUAACCCAGAAGGUUUCGUGGACAAAAUCGUUCUGUGGAAUACAAGUCUCGCCGGAACCCUAUCUCCGGGAUUGUCAAAUCUGAAGUUUGUUCGAGUUCUGACCUUGUUUGGCAACAGGUUUACAGGUAAUUUACCGUUGGAUUACUCAAAGUUACAAACUUUGUGGACGAUUAAUGUUAGUUCGAAUUCGUUGUCUGGUUCAAUCCCGGAGUUUAUUGGUGAUUUGUCUAGCUUAAGGUUUCUCGACUUGUCUAGAAAUGGUUUCUCUGGAGAGAUUCCGGUUUCUCUGUUUAAUUUCUGUAACAAGACCAAAUUUGUUUCACUGUCUCAUAACAAUCUCUCUGGAUCAAUCCCUGCUUCAAUCGUGAACUGUAACAACCUUGAAGGAUUUGAUUUGUCUUACAAUAAUCUGAAGGGAGUGUUGCCUCCUAGGAUUUGUGAAAUUCCGGUGCUUGAGUAUAUCUCAGUGAGAAACAAUUUGUUAUCUGGUGAUGUCUCUGAGGAGAUACCUAAAUGUCAGAGAUUGCGUCUUGUCGAUUUCGGAAGCAAUUUGUUCCAUGGAUCAGCGCCUUUUGAGGUUCUUAGAUUCGAGAAUAUAACCUAUGUCAAUGUUUCUUGGAACCGGUUUGGUGGGGAGAUUGGAGAGAUAACUGAUUGCAGUGAUAGUUUAGAGUUUUUGGAUGCUUCAUCGAAUGAGUUAGCCGGGAGGAUACCUACUAGUGUAACGGGGUGCAAAAGUCUCAAACUUUUGGAUGUGGAGUCUAACAAGCUGAAUGGGAGUAUCCCGGGAGGUAUCGGGAAGAUGGAGAAACUCUCGGUGAUCAGAUUAGGUGAUAAUUCUAUAGAUGGGGAGAUACCAAGGGAGAUUGGAAAUUUGGAGUUCCUACAGGUUUUGAAUCUGCAUAAUCUCAACCUCAUUGGUGAAAUACCAGAGGAUAUAUCCAAUUGCAGAGUACUUCUUGAACUGUAAGUUCUAAUUAUUGUUCAAUUCUUGUUACUGUAUUUGAUUUCUGAAUCUCACAUUGUUGUAAAAUGUUUUGUUGUUGUUGGCAGAGAUGUUUCAGGGAAUGAUUUAGUAGGAGAGAUCCCUAAGAAGCUAUUAAACUUAACAAACCUAGAGAUUCUUGAUCUGCAUCAAAACCAUCUCAAUGGAAGUAUCCCAUCUGAUCUUGGAAAGCUCUCCAGAAUCCAGUUUCUUGAUCUUUCACAUAACUCGCUCUCAGGGUCAAUCCCAUCUUCCCUCGGGAAUUUGAAUACACUAACGCAUUUUAAUGUCUCCUAUAACAAUCUCUCCGGUGUUAUCCCUCAUGUUCCAGUGAUGCAAGCUUUUGGAUCUUCUGCAUUUUUGGACAACCCUUUCCUCUGCGGUGAUCCACUUGUAACUCCCUGCAAUUCACAUGGAGCUGCAACAACAUCCAGAAAUUCUAAUGCUCUAAGCAUUUCAGUUAUCAUUGUUAUUAUUGCGGCUGUUGUUAUCCUCUUCGGUGUCUGUAUAGUGCUUGCUUUGAAUCUAAGAGCUCGUAAAAGGAGGAAAAACGAAGAAAUACUUACAGUUGAAACCACUCCUCUGGCGUCUUCAAUUGACUCUUCUGGUGUGAUUAUCGGAAAACUUGUUCUUUUCAGCAAGAAUUUGCCAUCAAAGUAUGAAGAUUGGGAGGUGGGUACAAAAGCUUUGCUCGACAAGGAAAAUAUUAUUGGCAUGGGGUCGAUUGGAUCAGUUUAUAGAGCAUCUUUCGAAGGAGGGGUUUCCAUUGCAGUAAAGAAGCUUGAGACUUUAGGAAGAAUCAGAAACCAAGAAGAGUUUGAGCAGGAAAUUGGACGGCUUGGAGGUUUGCAACAUACGAAUCUGUCUUCUUUCCAAGGUUACUACUUUUCCUCAACUAUGCAGUUGAUUCUCUCUGAAUUUGUCCCUAACGGUAGCCUCUACGAUAAUCUACACCUAAGAAUCUACCCGGGAACCAGCUCAAGCCAUGGGAAUACCGAUUUAAAUUGGCACAGAAGAUUUCAGAUUGCUUUAGGGACCGCAAAAGCGCUCUCUUUCCUUCACAAUGACUGUAAACCGGCGAUUCUUCAUCUCAAUGUUAAGUCCACCAACAUUCUUCUAGAUGAAAGAUAUGAGGCAAAGCUAUCGGAUUAUGGACUAGAAAAGUUUCUUCCGGUUAUGGACAGCUUUGGUUUGACUAAGAAGUUCCACAACGCAGUGGGGUAUAUUGCUCCCGAACUAGCUCAGCAGAGUUUGAGAGCAAGUGAUAAAUGCGAUGUGUAUAGUUAUGGUGUAGUUCUUCUUGAGCUGGUUACAGGUAGAAAACCAGUGGAGUCUCCAUCAGAAAACAAAGUCUUGAUCUUGAGAGAUUAUGUGAGGGAUUUAUCGGAGACUGGUUCGGCUUCUGAUUGUUUUGACAGAAGGUUGAGAGACUUCGAAGAGAAUGAGCUUAUUCAAGUCAUGAAGUUAGGACUGAUUUGUACGUCGGAGAGCCCAUUGAAGAGACCGAGUAUGGCUGAGGUUGUGCAGGUUCUUGAAUCAAUCAGAAAUGGAUUUGGAUCAUGAUGAGUAAAGAUUGCAUAGAAAAUGUGCAGGGUAGUAUUUAGAGCUUAGAAAGUGGGGUUUAAGGGGAAAUAAGUUAUUCUUUUGGAUUUUGGUGAUAUUCCGGUUUAGGCUUACAUUUGUUCAAUGAAAUUGUUAGUCUGGUUAACACAAUACCAAACCGAGUUUUGACGAAUGUAGAUAAGCAUUUUCAAUCUUGAGAUUUACAUGUUAUACAAACUUUUCUGAUACGGUUCAUAACUACAAGCACAUCUUUCUCAGACAAAUUACUGAUACAGAAUCUAAACCAUCCUGGUUCAAUACAAUGACAACAGGACCCUGGUGUUACAUUGAUCUUACCAAUAUUCAAGAACUUGUUCCAAAGCUCAAUCUCGCCUCUCUCGCUGUAAGAAGACAUCAAUCCUCUCAUAUCUGCCCAACAAAACAACCCUCCAUUGCCUCUCAUGCACUCGAUUCCUAAACCUUUCAAUCCUUUUACAAACUCUGAGUAGAUUCUCUUUAGUCUCUGCCUACUGGUUUUUACAUAUGUUUGAAUGAAUUCCGGUUUGGAGAUUGCGGAAAGGAGCAAAUGUUGGGAUGGCGAUGACACCGGUGAGAGCGUUGUGAGCUUUCUCGAAGCUGCUAGAAUGUUCUCAUUGAAGGAGUAUAUGGCGCCAGCUCUGAGUCCUGGAAAAGACAAGUCUUUUGACAGAUCGUACACGAUGUGAACUCUUUCCUUGUCAAGAUUCUCUUCUGUCUCAGCUAUAUCAGCUAUAGUGACAAAUUCUGCUUCUUCAUCUCCGUAGAUCGAACAAGCAAAUAUCUCGUUGGAAAUUAUAUGAAUGUUUUUCUCCCGGGUGAAGUCCAGAAGAGCAUAGAGAUUUUCUCUGCUCAAGAGAGUUCCCAUGGGAUUGGAAGGGUUUGAGAUUAUGAUUCCGCGGACUCUCACACCGCGUUUCUUAGCUUGAGAGAAACUCCGUUCAAGCGCAGUCACGGAUAUAUUGAAAUUAUCAGAACUCCUGCAAGGAACGUGUAUGAUUUCAACUCCGUUUCGCCAUUUAACAUCCACAUUGAAUCUGCAGAAACCGAACAGCUUUAAAGCUACAGACUAUUAGUAUUCUUAUGCAGCCAGAGAGAGUCAAGCAAUAAACUGAAAUCGUUACCCGGGAGAGCACGGCGUUGGAACAAGGAAAGCGUUUCCAGAAUCAGCUAAGCAGAAGGAAAGAAUCUCGAUAGCUGAAGCUGCACCAGAAGUUAGUACCAACUGCGAUGGAUCAAAGGUAACAGCAUUCUUGGUUGCUUCAGACAUGAGCCUUGUCACACCCUGUCUCCAAUAUAAAUGAGAAAUCCACAUUCGAUAAAAAACAAGAACUUAGAAGUAUCCAAAAGCAGUAGACAGUAAAGCAUGAUCAAGAACAGAUAGUAAAUUUCGAAUAGUAUGCUAAAGAAUUUGAAAAUCUACACCUCCUUCAAUAUUUCAUUUGUAUCAUAAUUGGGUCAAUGAAAGGUAAAAAAUUUAGAGUUGAAAAGAAAAUAACCAUUUUGAGCUCCAUGAGUCCAUCAGGAGGCUCAUAUGAAGCAACCCCACUGAAACGCACUCCAAUUGAAGUUUGAGAAACCCAAUCCAAGCUCAACUGUAAAAGAAGAACAUAUUGUAGAUUAUAAAAAAUCAGAGAACCACGAAAGAAAAAAUCGAAACUUUUGAUCUUAUUGGACCUUGUUCUGAGCUAAACCAAGCUCGAUGAUGCCAUCAGGGUUACCCGACUCGUCAUACGGAUCCUCCUCGACCCGUCUCAGUCCCAGGUGAUACGGCGAAUCCCCACCUUUGAGGAUACUAUUGGCCCGAACCGAAACAGAAACGUGAGCCCCGGAAUUUCUCGGCGUGAUAUUGACCCGAGAGAGAGACCUGGACAACCCAUUAAGCUCCGAUUGAGUCGGACUCGAGGAACCCGAGUUGUUGGCAGAGGAGGCUGAGUUCUGAAUAGCCGGGUCGGAUUCGGGUUCGUCUAUCCGGUUUCGUUUGAGAUAAAACUGGAGAAAGUAGAAGAAAGCACAAGGAAUUACAGAGCCCAAGACUAAACCACCACGGCCUUGAACCACUCCUUGUAAAGGCACGAUCACUCUCAUCACGGUUGUUCGCCGCCUUUCCCGGAAGAUGUCUCUGAAUCGUGUGUAUCCCUCCGGCUCCGGUAGAUACCGGCACGGGUCAUUAUACCCAACUCAUGCGAACAACGGAAGCUUAGAGUGAGUUUUAGAAACCAGGUCGGGUAAAUGGAUUAUCGGGUCAGCGGCGAACUAAAAGAACACAGAGAGAAGCUUUGAUAAUUGUUUAGUACGAAUUUUCUGAUGUCGUUGUUUGGAAUUUUUUGGUAGUGGCGUUGAUUCGUUGCUUGCUUCAAGGGUUUUGAUUCUUUUAGUCGUUGAGAUUUUUUUGGAGGGAGAUGAAUGUAAAACUACCAUGUUACCCUUUAGUCUUCAUCCUCCGCAACCACAAGCUACAAUGACCCAAAUCGGAUAUACAUUCCACUUUUUUUUUCUUUCUUUUUUUAUUUAUAUCGAAAGAGAAAAGGAAAUAAUCGAUCAUCAUAAACUGGGCCUUUCAAAGGCCUCUGGUAACUCUAAAACGGUGCGUUUUUUUUUAUUGUAAAAAACUCGGUUUGGACUAGCCUAACCAGACUAAACCAGAUCAAAACGCAGUCGUUUUGGGGUUGUUUUGUUGAGUCGGCCUGAAUUUGUUGGAUGCGACGAGAGCAGACAGACAGAUCAAAAUAAGUCGGAAGCUGUUGCUUCGUCGGGUCGCCGUCGCCGAUUAAAUCUCCGACGAAGGUUAGUAAUUUUAUUGUUGUAACCAAUGUGCUAACUUCGAUUUUGUCCCAUUGUGUUCGUUCUGAGAUUUCACAACCCGAAUUGAUCUCUCAUCUUCGAAUUUUGUUUUUUUUUUUUUGUAUUUAUGAUUGAUCGGUCAAAAGCUCAAAAUCUGGAUGAUGGUUUGAAGUCUAUAUAAGUAUUUUUGUGUGUGUGCAGUUCUAAUAAAGAGAGGGGGGAGGGGGAAGAAGAUGGAUCAAGGAAGGCAAGUAUUUUCAGUUGAUCUUCUGGAGAGAUAUGCCACAAAGAAUCGUGGCAUGAUUACAUGUAUGGCUGCUGGGAAUGAUGUCAUUGUUCUUGGUACUAGUAAAGGAUGGAUUAUACGCCAUGAUUUCAGAGUUGGGGGUUCUAAUGGUAUUUUCAAUUCUCUCAUCUCCCUUUUGUUUCUUAAAUUUCAGUGGUGAAAGUUCAGUUUUGUGAGAAAAUUAGUCAAAUCUUUUUUCUUUUGGAUGUAGAUAUUGAUCUCUCUGUUGGUCGAACCGGGGAACAAUCGAUUCACAAGGUUUUUGUUGAUCCCGGUGGUAGCCAUUGCAUUGCUACUGUCACUGGUGUUGGAGGAGCUGAAACGUUUUAUACUCAUGCUAAUUGGCUUAAGCCGCGUGUGUUGAGCCGCUUUAAAGGUUUGGUGGUUAAUGCUGUGGCUUGGAAUAGGCAACAGAUUACUGAAGGUUAUGUUUUUAGUGUUAUAUGAUGAGUCUAUAAUUUUUUCUAUCUCUCCGUUCUCACAUGGAUUAAUAUUGAUGAUUUUGUUUGUUUUGUCUUUCCCUGAAUUCAGUUUCUACUAAGGAGAUCAUUCUGGGCACUCAGGAUGGGCAGCUAUUUGAGAUGGCCGUGGAUGAGAAAGACAAGAGAGAGAAGUAUAUCAAGUUUUUAUUUGAACUUGAAGAACUUCCAGAGGCCUUCAUGGCUUUGCAGGUACCGACAUUUUAUACCGAGUUGAAAUUACUUGUUUCCUCCAUUGGAUUUGCUAUUCUAACCACUGUCUUUUAUUGAAACUAAUGUGUAGAUGGAAACGGCUAACAUAAGCAGUGGGAUGAGGUACUACGUGAUGGCUGUAACUCCCACUCGACUCUACUCAUUCACCGGGAUUGGAACAUUAGAAGUAAGCUAAAUUCUCUUCUGCUAUCUGAUGAAUUAUGGACCCCGAUCUUAUGAAUAAUAUAGGAACAUUAAAUGUCACGAUCGUAGAACUAACUUCUUAUUAUGAAAUGGGAGCAUUAGGAGGUUAAGUGGAAGUUCACAAUAUAUUUAUUGAAGAUGAUCCAGUUUAUUGGUCGAUAUGGUUGGGCUGUCAAAUUCAUACAUGAUUGUCCCUUCCUAAUUUCAGAUAUCACAUCAGAAAAUUGGAUCUAACAUCUUACUUUUUAGAUCUGUGUUGCUUUCAAAUCUGUUAUCUCUGGCAAAUGUGGAUUAGCUUUUCUUAUGUUCAAUGUCUAACUUCUAAGUGUUUACUCCAGUCUGUUUUUGCUAGUUAUAAAGAACGUGCAGUUCAUUUUAUGGAACUUCCUGGUGAAAUACCAAACAGGCAAGCUAUUAAGUUACCUUAGGCUCAUUUUGCGUUUGAAAGACAUUACAAAGUGUAAUUCUGCUCUCUGAACAUAUAAUGUUUUAUCGUCUUUCAGCGAACUACAUUUCUAUAUAAAUCAACGAAGAGCGGUGCAUUUUGCAUGGCUUUCAGGAACAGGAAUUUAUCAUGGUGGCCUAAAUUUUGGAGCUCAGCACAGGUAGAAUGAUAGUGUACUUAUAUGGCUAUGUCCCUCUGAAAUACUUAUUGGGAUCUUUCUUUUUGUUGCUCACUUUCAUAUCUUUUGGUUCCUUCAUUCUGUAAUUUGAUUUUAACUUGUUGAUAGUUAUCCAAAUGGUGAUGAGAAUUUUGUGGAGAACAAAGCACUCUUGGACUACUCAAAACUGAGUAAUGGCACUGAAGCAGUCAAGCCUAGUUCAAUGGCACUCUCUGAGUAUCAUUUCUUGCUUCUUAUUGGGAAUAAGGUUAAGGUAUGUUUGGACAGAUGAAAGGUGAUACUUUCCCCGUGUAUGUACUUAGUUUGAUAUGGCUCAUAUAAGUGCUUUGUUUCAUAAGUGUGCUUACUUUCUGGUUUCUGCAUUCCUUCAAUGCGGGGGUAGGUUGUGAAUCGGAUAAGUGAACAAAUCAUAGAAGAGCUCCAGUUUGAUAUAACGACAGAUUCAGGUACGAGGGGCAUAAUUGGACUUUGCAGCGAUGCUUCUGCUAGCAUUUUCUAUGCAUAUGAUCAAAAUUCGAUAUUCCAGGUCUGUUUUGUUGUUGGCUUAGUCGUUUAUAAUGAUAGUAAAAGUGGCUGAGGGAGUUUUUCUAACAUCUUCUGCUUUCACUUCUUAUUUGGGAUUUGGAUAUAUUCUUUAGGUUUCUGUGGUUGAUGAAGGCCGGGAUAUGUGGAAGGUUUACCUAGACUUGAAAGUCUAUGCUGCAGCUUUAGCAAACUGUCGUGACCCUCUUCAGAGAGACCAAGUUUAUUUAGUUCAGGUGAUUCUUGACGUCAUCUUUAAGUUAAUAGGCAUUGGCUUUCAUGUCAUAGGUGUCAUAUCUACAAAUCCUUUUAUUAUCGUAUUAUUGCUGUCGCCUGCCUAUAGAUACUUGUCAGAAAGAAUCUCUCUUUUGAUUAUUUGUGGAUUGGGCAUCUUCUGUUGUAGGCAGAAGCUGCAUUCACCAACAAGGAAUAUCUGCGAGCAGCAUCAUUCUACGCCAAAGUAAUUUCUAGUUCCUCUGUUUUACUUUGUUCUUACUUGAUGUAAUUCAUCAUUGACGUGGUACUAUGUUUUCUUUGCAGAUCAAUUACGUAAUAUCUUUUGAGGAAGUCACUUUGAAGUUUAUUAGUAUAAACGAACCGGUAAACAUUUAUGUUUGUAUCUUUGCUAGUUUUAAUUAUAGGACAUAAAUAAUCUCUAAUCCAGUGUGCGCUGUUCAGGAGAGAGAAACUGUGUUUACAUGUGGGCUUCAAUUUUUACUGUCUUAUGUUCCUUGUGUGAUUGCAGGAAGCUCUGAGAACAUUCUUGUUGCGGAAGCUUGAUAAUCUUUCAAAGGAUGAUAAAUGCCAGAUAACCAUGAUAUCUACAUGGGCAACUGAGCUAUAUUUGGACAAGGUCUAGCUUUUGUUGUCUUUGUUCUCACUUCACGUUUAACAUAUAUUUAGAAAAAAAUUAUGUCAUCUACAUCUAGUAUUCCCUAUUCUUCUUAUUUAUAUCCCCCCAGUUUUCUUUCUGACUUUUUGUGUCCUGUUUUUUGGUCUCGUGUUUGUUGAAUGCUAAAUUAGAUUAAUCGGCUGCUUUUGGAAGAUGACACUGCUAUAGAAAAUCGUGACUCUGAGUAUCACUCGGUCAUUGAAGAAUUCCGUGCUUUCAUGAGCGACUGCAAGGAUGUAUUGGAUGAGGCAACCACAAUGAAACUUCUGGAAAGGUAAUUCCACAAGUAUCCCAGGCGAUCUAUUAAAUUAUAUCCCUAAGACAGUGAGCACUUGGACCUUUAUAGUGAUGUUGUAUUAUUUUGUGGAAUAAGCUAUUCUCUUAAAAGAAAGUUUUCAUCACAUCUCCUAGGAUGUCUUGUUUACAGUAUAAGACACCACCUUUCUUCUUCUUUUUUCUUAUCUCUUUUUUCCUUCUCCUGUAGUUAUGGUCGGGUUGAGGAGUUGGUAUAUUUUGCAAACUUGAAGGAGCAAUAUGAAAUUGUAGUUCACCAUUAUAUCCAGGUUAAUGGCGUGAUAAGUUUUCUUUUCAUACUUGAUCCAUAUAGAAAAUAUAUCUUACUCAGGAUUGAUCAGUUGACAUUAUGAGUUUCAUAUUUAUCCAUUAGCAAGGAGAAGCAAAGAAAGCAUUGGUGGUGCUCCAAAAAUCUUCAGUAUCAGAUGAGCUUCAGGUCUGUAAAUAUUAGCACUGGGUCUUGUGAUAUCAUGUAAUCUCCCAAUCUUUGUUUUGUCCUGUAAACCAGAAUAUAUUUUGCUCACUGCAGUAUAAAUUUGCGCCGGAGCUUAUUAUGCUUGACGCAUAUGAAACUGUGGAAGCAUGGAUGGCCAACAAAAAUCUUAAUCCAAGGAGAUUAAUUACUGCAAUGAUGCGCUACUCAAGCGAACCUCAUGCAAAGUAAUGGCACACUUCUCAACUAUAUGUUUAUUCAUGUUGUGUUAUCAAUUUCUACAAUAACUCCUAAAAUCAAAAUGCAGGAAUGAGACACACGAAGUCAUAAAAUAUCUUGAGUUUUGCGUCCACCGUUUGCAUAACGAGGAUCCAGGGAUUCACAAUUUACUUCUCUCAUUAUAUGCCAAGCAGGUUUGGUUGGUUUUCGUCAACAAAUUUUCUUUGAUUCCUUAUAACUUUAGAACAUGUAACUAACUGGGAAGCAACGUCUAGGGUUACUGUCCAUUUUUCUUCUUUUUCACUUGUAUGACUGUGACUAAGAAGUUUCUGGAGGGCUACGUAAUGGUUUUAUUUUUCUUAUCCUAUUAGGAAGAUGACAGUGCUCUCCUCCGUUUCCUGCAAUGCAAAUUUGGGAAAGGACGAGAGAACGGUCCCGAAUUUUUUUACGAUCCCAAAUAUGCUUUGCGCCUCUGUCUCAAGGAAAAGAGAACCCGUGCCUGUGUCCAUAUCUACAGCAUGAUGUCUAUGCAUGAAGAGGCGGUAGCACUUGCUCUUCAGGUAAUAAUUCUAUUAAUAAAAAAUCAUCCAUCUUUCAAAUUCCUUCUCCUAAGAUUCCGAAUUCGCCACAUUCUAUGAUGCCAAUAUGUCUCAGAAAGGUUGGUUGACCAUUUUAGUCCGAAUUUUCUUCUGGUUGUGGUUGAAAACAAUUUUUGUUUUACAGAUUGAUCCAGAGCUUGCCAUGGCUGAGGCUGAUAAGGUUGAAGAUGAUGAAGACUUGAGAAAGAAGCUGUGGCUGAUGGUUGCAAAGCAUGUUGUCAAGCAGGAAAAGGGAGCUAAAAGGGAAAACAUAAGGAAAGCCAUUGCCUUUCUCAAGGAAACUGAUGGUCUUCUGAAGAUAGAAGAUAUUUUGCCUUUCUUUCCGGACUUUGCCUUAAUUGAUGACUUCAAGGUUAGUCAUCUUUUCCUCUUUUCCAGACACACAAACACUCUGUCUUGGACCUAACAAGUUGCUUCUGCUCUCUUGUUAUUUUCUUCAAACUCCUCUUGCAGGAAGCGAUUUGCUCAUCUCUUGAGGAUUACAACAAGCAAAUAGAACAAUUGAAAGAGGAGAUGAAUGAUGCCACACGUGGUGCAGAUAACAUUAGAAAUGAUAUCAGUGCGCUAACUCAACGAUAUGCUGUAAUCGACCGUGACGAGGAAUGCGGGGUAUGAUGAUCCUAAGAAUUAAUAGUCUUUAUCUAUUGUCUAGCUAUCUAUGAUAUAUAUAGAUUGGAAUCAAAUUUUCUGAAGCACCAAAAUUACCAGUAGAGCUUAUUAUUUUCAAUAUGUUACCAGGUUUGUAAACGUAAAAUCUUGAUGAUGACCGGGGAUUUCAGAAUGGCACAGGGACAUUCUUCAGCUGGACCGUUAGCUCCUUUUUAUGUCUUUCCUUGUGGGCACUCUUUCCAUGCACAGUGCCUGAUCACACACGUCACAAGCUGUGCACAUGAAGAGCAAGUAAAUUCCUAACCAUGAGUUCUCUCUGUAUAUUAGAUACUGCAAAUUUAGUAAUAUUCAGUUCGUUUAGAGUAGUACGAUUUGCUGUACCUGUAGCUUAGUUCGUAAUUUUCCAUGUUAAAAUUGUGAUUCCAUUUUUUUGGAUUGGUUAUCCAAAAAUCUGUCUAGGCCGAGCAUAUACUUGAUCUGCAGAAGCAGCUGACAUUGCUCGGAAGCGAAAGCCGGAGGGAUAUAAAUGGUAACAGAUCUGAUGAACCCAUAACAAACACAACUACUGCAGACAAGGUAGGGACAUUCGUUUCAUUUUUCUUUUCCUUUUUAUUUUAUAUCUUUUCUUAACAUGUUUCUAUGGCUUGACAUAUAUUAUUUUACCUUGUGGCAGCUUCGAUCAGAGCUAGAUGAUGCUAUUGCCAGCGAAUGCCCAUUCUGUGGAGAAUUAAUGAUCAAUGAGAUCACUUUGCCUUUUAUAAAACCUGAGGAUUCACAACAUUCUGCUUCAUGGGACCUCCGACCACAGACCAACUUAGCAAACCAAAGGACCAUUUCUUUGCCUGUUUGAUUCAUGUCACCCAGUGAUUUCUUCUUCAGCUAGCUUCGGAUUGUGAAUUUGAUUUUGAGUGCUGUAUUAUUUGUGUAAUAUUAUUAUUAAACAUGCUUCUGGAGAUACAUACAUUAAGUUGUUUCACCUACUCGUGCCUCUGUAAUCUAAAAUGUUCUCUUGACUAUUUUUUCGAUAUGAAAGAUACUUUUGUAUUCCAUGAUUUUGCAUCAGUGACGCGAUUCUUCCUCGGCUUCAAAAUCUUUUUCUGCAGAUAUUUUCUUGGCCAGAGCCUGCUUGGUCCAGCGCUUCAAGUCAUAAGCUCUCUUGAAAGGCUUCUUAUCCUUGGUAAGUUUCCUCUUUGUAAUGGCAAUUGCAAGAUCGUUUGGGAACAAAGUUUGCCAGACAAAGGCGUGGAGAAGCGUGGAGACAAACAAAAUGCAGACCAUCGCUGUAGAUAUGAAGGAAAGAGUGAGUGCUAGAGCCCUGCUGGGGUAACCAGGUACUGCCUCUGCAUACUUUAUUGUUGCUACUGAUGCUGUUGUCAUAGGAAAAGUAUAUGACCACCACGCUACUGAGAACCUGCAUACAACUCCUUAGCCACUAAUUUGCAACAACACAUACUUUGACUGGAAAAUAUAUAAACCCGAGUUUGACUUACUUGAAUCCCGUGAAGAAAUUGAUCCGUGCGACAAGGGAGAUGUAUAGGAAGAGUGCAAUAAAGAAGCAAGUUCUCGAACAUCCAUCAAAUUGGCCAUAUAUCGUGUUCCAAGCGAUACUUGCUGCUGAGGGGGCAGCUAUGAACAUAGAGUAAACAGGAUGAAGCUCUUUAGGCAGAGCUUCACUUGUGGGAAGUCUCUGAUAUAGUGUUACGAACAAAACCAAGUAAUGUGCAAACCCAACUGCCCAUAGAAACUUAGCUACUUCACUCCAUCCAACUUUUGAAGCUAAGAUGGCCCCAACGAAAUUCCCUACAACAGAAAGGUGAGAAGAUGGGUUUGCGACUUUGCAUAGUCUUCUUUUCCCUCCUGAAAGCCAUUGCCCAUAGAUCUUUAGCUCGAGUAAGAAAUAAGGACCCAUGAAAACGCACCAAAUAGCGGGAUGGAGGUAUUUUCGGUUUGAGGAGAACACGGGAGGUACGCUCAGGGCUAGAAACAUGCAAACCACCCAAGGAGCAAAGAAGAAGUUGACUCGGACCGGAUGAAAGUACUCUCUUUUGACAGCUUCGAAGUAGAAGAUGCAUUUGAGUAUGUAAGUGAAGGACACAGAGAAUAAGGCUACCAGUGACAAUAGCCAUACAAGUAAGUUAAUCAAUGGUGUGAUGUGUAAAAAGUUUGUCGCGGGACUUUUCGCCAGGGCAAGCCACAAGACAGCUUGACUGCUAAGUCCUAAACAGAUACCGUAGCAUCCAAUCGGGAACCUUAGAAGAAACGGCCAUUGCUCCUCUUUUGGAAGCAGAAUAUCUUCAUUGUCCUGCAAGAGAAUACAAUUGGAACUAAGUCAUUGAGAAUUGAAGAGAGAGAGAGAGAUAAAGAAGAAGAGUUGUUACCUUGACUUCAUCCAAUUCGGGUCCUCUAAGAGCAGCAAAGUAUCUUCCUGCAGAAACAUUUUCAUUUAUAGAAUCAUCUUUGGUCUCACCACCUUCAGUUCUUAAAGAGUUCUCAAUGUCUCUCUCCCUUAUUAUAGAAGGCAAUAGAGAUUUUUGUUUGCUGAGCGUAGAUUUGGUCCUAAACAUACUGAAAUCUGCUUUCCGACCAUCUCCACCGUUGAUGAUUCCACCUACUUCAAACCCGCCAAAGCUACGACCACUCCUCGGUAAACUCUUUUUGUCAUCUUUUUCUCUAGAUUCUCUGUUGAGCACAGAGAAACCAGUCUCUAGUGAGACCUGUCUGCCGAAACCUCUGUAUGGUCUUUGUUUCCCUCGGUUUGGUCCUCUGUAACCAGAAAAUCUCUUGUUGUUGUUAUCUUGCUGUUGCGGUUCUUGCUCUGCUUCUUCUUCAACUUCAUUGAUGUCGGCGAAAUUGGAAUGAGCAUUUGAUUGUUUCCUCUCCAUUGAUCAGAGUUAAUAUGAUACUUGAGAAACACAGGAGAAGAUAUUUCUUUUUCUCUCGAAUGCAGAGGAAACAUGUUGAUGUAUAUAGAAAGAAAGAUGCAAUGGAGUAAGUUUAAAAAAAGCAAAGUAUGUGGUUAAGGAGAAGAGAUCACGAGAGAGCUUGUUGAAUGGUGUGGUUUAAAUGUGUGCAUGUGAGAGCCAAUACUUUCCUGGAAAGUUUCUUAGGUUUCUCGUGAAAAUGUUUCGAUCCAAACAGCUUGGAAAAAGAGAGACGAUGACAAACCACAGAUAGGAAAAGGCCGUUCCCUUAGUCACGACUCACGAGACUCAAAUUGCAAUAACCAAAAUCAAAUUGCAUUUUGCUUAUUUGCUCAUCUUUCUUCUACCAAAACAAAACUUGAAUCAGUUAAGUUGGACUGGUUCGGUUUAGUUAAUUCGAUUUAUGUUUGCUCCAUUCGUUUGGUUUUGAUGUCUCGUAACUGAUGAAACAAUUCACAACUACAAUGUGAGGUUUUGAAGUGGUUAUUAAUCAAAGCCAAUUCGUUGCCUGUAGCCAACUUAAGUAAAACCUAUCAACAUUUGUUUGCAUUUACACGACAAUGUGACGUUACAUUAGAUGUCAAAAAAAAGAGUACGUAAACACACAUUCUUAGGUAUAUAUUUGAAUUAUGAUCUUACAUAAACAAACAUAUGUGAAGUAGAGAGAGAACAUGUGUUUCAAUCGUAAAGGCCUAUAGGUUUGAAAUAUUGGAAAAGGGAUAGAAAACAAAAAGAGUGGAGCUACCAAACAUAUGUGGAGAAGUAAGAAUAGCAUAUAUUCUUCUUCUUUAUUUAAGAGAUUUUGUUUCCAUGGAUUUUGGUCCCUUUGUUUUGCUUUACUUUUUCUCUUUAUCCAAACAAAACAAAAACCUUUGAAUCAAUCACUGAGACAAUACAAAAGUGAUAAUAAAAUCAAUGAAUAGGCUUCGCAUGAAUUGGACCAAAAGACAAAACUCACAUAAGCUGUCAUAAUCUAUCUCCCUCUCUUUUCUCUCCUCUUAUUUUCUUUUCUUACACUUUCUUGAAAACGAAAAGCAAAAUAUAAACAUAAAUUCUUGAAGAAAACUUGGUUUUUCCAAUUAACACGUUAGACUUGUUGUAUAGUUGUAUAAACAACAAUUAUGAGAACGAAACCACAACAACCUGGAUUUUGCCUACAUUUUAUAUGAAAUGAACUAAUGAAGCAUGUAAUAUAUAACUACCCCUAUUGAUUAAUAUAACACGUUUAGUUUAAGUGUUACCACCUUAAAAUGUUAGCUAUAUUGGAACACACAUUAACAAGCUGUAAGUCUAAUGAUAAACCUUAACCCUACAUUAGCUAAAACAUCAAUAUCAUAUUUAUCAAACCUAUUUAAUACUGACUACAUUUUUGGAUGCAUGUUUGGUUCAGCCUUUGAUUACUCAAUUAUAGUCAACAAUAAGAUGUGUUUGUGUUUGUGUGUCUUUAUGCCUAACAUUUUUCUUUUUUGUAACAAAGAAGGAAACUCUUCUGCUAAACACAUUAGUUUUCAGAUCAAAAUAGUAGAUCUCAAAUCAUUAUAAGAAUACAAAUCUUACAAGUGAAAUAAUGAGCAAGUUGACAUAAAAAAGAGCAAGUUGACAAAAACAAAGAAGGCAAGUUGCUAACAAUUAUAUUAAAAAAAAAAAAAAAGGAAAAGGAAAAAAAAAUAUGUAUACAUUACCAAACAGAUGAAAAUGCGAUUUCGCCUAACUGAAGAAGAACUCAAAUCAGAAGUGGAAAGAAAUUUAGUAUUUUUAACUUUUUUUCAUCACUAUGUUUCGAUAAUUUUGGUAACACCAACUAUAAAAUAAAACAUAACAGUACAAGAACAAAAUAACAAAUUUAAAACAAAGGAAGAUAAAAUAAAAUAUACAAUCUUAUUUCCUUUAAUUAUGCCCCCUACUUUUUCACUUUUGUUAUAAAUAUAUAUAUAUAUCCCCUCUUUUUUUUUCCAUUUCAUAUCUUUUCCCCAAUCUCAACCAUUUACAAUUAAAUUGAUUUGUCCCCUCUCUCAAAACGAACCAAACCGGUUCAAAAACAAAUAGCAGAAUUCCAAAGAAUCAAGAAACUAAACCGAAAAAUUAAAAAUUAAAAAUUACUUCACCGGUUUAAAAUCCAAUAUCUUUCUUUUUCUUCUCACUUUCUAUUUUCACUUCUGGUUAAGCAAUUUGGAUCUCUUCCUAGCUUCGCUAUAGAGAACCACUCCCAUAAUGGUGACGCCAAACCCGGCAAUCCCCAUCACCGUGACUGGAUUCCUAAAUAUCAGAACCGAAACUCCGGCAGCCACCGCGGCUUUCCCGUUCCCCAAAACCUGCAAUGUGAGAGCACUUGUGUGCUUUGUCACCAAGAAAUUUGUCAAGUUCACUAAAUAUGCCACUGUCGCAUUCCCGGCUAGCAAGAAGAUGAUCAGUGGAUCCGUCCUCGCCUUUUCUAUUAGGAUUCUUAAUACGUUUCCUUCUAUGUAUAGUGUGAAUGGUAGUAAGAUACAAGCCGCCAUUGGAGCCAUGUAUAGCAAUAGAUUCAUCGAAUGCAGCUUCUCUGAUUCCGACGUCAGAAUUAUCCCCUACAACAACAUUCACAGAAAAUCCGGUUCAACCAAACCACGAAAUAACUGGAUUCAAACUCAGAUUCCGUGAGAUCCAAAACUAGAUUCAGACGCAAUUGAAUCAUACCCAUGAUAAACCAAUACUAUAAUGUAAAAUUCAAACAGAGACUGAGCUAAACCGGACUCAGUUCUGUUCGAAACCAAAUUCCAGAUUUGACACAAUUAAACCAAAUUCGGACAGAUUUUAAAGAGAGAUGUGUUGUAAUAAAACUGAAAUUGGAACACAGUUUCUAUUGGUACUAAACCCGAAAAUUCAAACCGAUAUUUACUGUUACAGAUUUAAGAAUUUAAUACCUGGACGACGGAUUUGAGAGCUCUGCCGGCGGUGGAAGCAACACAGAUGAGGAAACCAAAGAGAUGAAAAGAAGGUUCAGAGUUAGAAGCAAGAACGAUGCCGGAGACGACGGGAAGAAGAGCCAAGUAAACUUCAGUGGACUCUGUUUUACAGGUAAUGAGAAAAGAGAACACGGCGGUGAAGAAGGGCGUGGUGGCUCCAAUGGCUUGAUUAAACGAAACAGGGAUGUAACGCAGCGACGUGUUGCCGCAGACGACGGAGAGACAAAAGAUGGCAGAUAAAGAGAGGAUCUUCAAGAACUGACGGCGAGAUAAGAUGUGCUGACGUGGAACGAUACCGGCGAUGUUGAUCACGGCGGAGCUGUAAGCGGCGCAGGAGAGCAUGUGAGUCAUGGUGAGGAAGAUAGGGUAACGGAAACCGUAGUAGAAGAGGAGGUAUUUGUUUAAGAGGAGGACUCCUAUGUUAGAGCCGAACCAGGCUGCGAUUAUAGACGCCGUGAGGAUUGCUGGAGAUACGGUGGGGGAAGAGAGGAAGAAUGGUUUGAGAGGCGAGGAGUGUGGAGGCGUUCCGGGGAUGUCUACGAUGGUUGGUGCGGGGGUUGCGGCGGCGUCGAAUCUAGGAUUGCUCAUCCGCCGCGUUGUCCAUGAUUGAGCUUCAACCAUUUCUUUGGGAGUAAGGGCAAAAUGGGAAUAAUGAGUUUUUUCUUUUUAUCUUCUCUAGAGAGAGAGAGAGAGAGAGAAAGUGUGAGUUUAUUUAAUCGUUUUCUGGUGAGGAUCGAGAUCUGAGAGUGAGGAGGAAGGAAGAAGAAGAAGAGGGAGAGAUAGAGAUGAAUCGGACGGUGGAAAUUUAGAUUUUUAGCUGUAAAGGUAUUGGGUGAUAUCAGCCGUUGGAUCUUUAUAGUUGGAGGGAAUUGUUUUUAUUUUAAAAUAAAUAAAAAGGAGAAACAAAUACUUAUUAUAAAAGGAGAAAUAAAAAUGAAGAUUCGAAGUCUUUUUGUGUUCGGAGAGACUCUCUAAGCCAUAUGAGUCAGAAGUGUCGGUAGUAGGUCCACGUUUGAGAUCCAAUUGGAAGCAAUCCUCUAUGACGCACGCCCACCCUAAUCACGUAAUUAAUCACUCACUACUAAUUUAUUAGCCUCUCUUUUCAAGUUUUGUUUUCUUUAAUUAUUGUCCCUCAAUACUAGCCCUGGGUAAAAUAUUCGUUAGAUUCGCUUCGUUUCGAUAUUCGUUUCGAUUCGAUUCGAAAAAUUCAAAUAUCUAUAAGAUAUUGAACCGAAGCAAAUAUGAAAAUCUAGUAUUCGUAAAAACCGAAGCAAAUAACAAAUAUUGAGUUUUUUUUAGUACCGAAUAUCCGCUUCGCUUCGUAUAUUUAUAUAUAUGUAUAAAUAUAAAUUAUUAUAUAAUACAUAUAAUAUAUAUGAUAUGUGUAUUUAUAUAUUUGGGUAUAUAUCUGAUAUGCCUAUUAUUCAAAUUAUUAUAUUUUGGCUCGUUGGGUUUUUUUUGUUGCUAAAUGUUGUUUUUAAACAAAUAAAACUUUACUAGAAAAAUCAUUAUUAAAAAUAAAAUGUGAGAAUUCUAUGGACGGUGGUUACAUUUCCUUCUUAUUUUGAAAAUAUGUCAAAUAACAACCUCUAAUAUUUUAUAUUUUGCACUUUAUAUUUAUGUACUAUAUAUUUUUUGUUUAAAACAAAAAUUGGAUGGGUCGAAGCGAAGCGAAUCAAGUAAUUCGCAAAUAUUACGAAAAUAUUCGAAUAUUCGAAGUUCCGAAUACUCGAAAAUUUACGAAUCGAAGCAAAUAGCAAAAUCAACUAUUCGAUCGAAGCGAAGCAAAUAACAAAUAUCACAAAUUUUCCGAAUAUUCGCUUCGUGCCCAGGGCUACUCAAUACACUAGUAGUUUUAUACAGUAGUUGGAAAAACACACUGCCCUAAUGUCAUGUCCUAAUUCUUCUAGACUAGAACACGCCAAAAUUAUUAUUAAACAUCAGUAACAAAGAUGGAAUAAGUCAUAUGUGUGUAUUUAUAAUAAUAUAAUAUGGUUAAAUCAAAAGAAAAUGGUGUAAAGAUAUAUAUAUGGGAUUUAUCGUAACAUGUAAACACCAAAUGCGUCGGUGUUGACAGAAUGGAUAAAGCGUAUAGUACAAAACAAAUGAAAUUAAACUUUAGUUUUCGGUUUUGAAAUACUAUACCAUAUAACAUGUUAUAUUGUUAUUUAUAGUAUUUUAUGUAAUGACGAAAUGAUUCAGUGUGUAGGUGUAUAUGUGUAAUAUUGAUAUGAUGAUGCCAAUGCCAAACGAAGUAGUAGAUCUCAUAAAAGAAAAUUCGUGUCACAACAUCAUUUAGCUUAAUCUCUCGAUUAUUUACUUGGUCGAUUUGUAUACUAAGGAUGUUUCAUUCUGUUUCUCUAGAUUGAAUCAUCCACUACAUUAUUGGUUUAUAUAUCACUUUUGUUUUGUCAACAUUUGUUUAUACUAAUAUUUACGAAUAGUCGAAUAUGUAUAUGUAUGUUUAGAUUUUAAAAGAUGCAUUUUAAAAUUAAUUAUAUUGACAAUAGUACAUUUUAAUAAAGGUGGUCACAAAUACCAAAAUCAAAUCAGAUCUAUCAAGUAAUAACGCGAUUUUUUCUUUCUUUUGAGCCAGCAUUAAUCACGCAUUGAGUUUAUUAUUGACUAUAUGAAUGACUAUGGAACUGUAUAUGUAUAUAUAUGUCAUGUCAUGUGCACAUGACAAAUCUUCAAGUUUAUCUAAUUUCUAUCAAUCAAAGUUUACUACCAAUUAUGGUAAAAAAUAAAUUAUAAAACGGGAUUUUGGCCAAUAGAAUGCAAUAUUCUUCGCAAAAAUAAAUGCUACUUUCUGCAAAAAAAAAUUCGCCUUGUACUGGUUAAAUCAAUAUGAAUACUUUUAUUACACUUGCCAUUUUGCCAACUGAUCUCAUGAUACCAUGCGAUUGCUAAUAAUAUCCAAAGGUAAAUAAACAACUUGCACACCGUGGAUUUUUAAAACUAAAAUAUCCUUAAUGCGAAAUAUAUUGUAUGUAUAAACAUGAUGUGAAUAAAAAAAAUUGAUAAGUUCAUUAAUCAAAUUACAAAUUUACAAAACGAGAGAAACUGUUCGUUGACAGAAAUGAAAAAGAGAAUUGUCCCACAUUGACAAGGAAUCCAAACACGAAAGAUAUAAUUAUUUGUUUCUUUUUUUUUGGUAUUAUACGAUAUGAAGUGCAUCUAUCAAUAAAAUCAUUUUUAUCGUUAUCACAUCAAUCCAUAAUACCCCCAUUUCUCUUAUAGCACGUAAGCGUGUUUAUUAUAUGUGGAGAUCAGAUUUCAAAUUAUAUGAUUUAUAUAACACUAAUACAUGGAAUUACCAGUUAUCAAUCAAUUAUCUACUACUAAUAGAUAAAAAUCAACAAUCCAAUACCACACAUAAAUCAUCAAGGUAAGAUAAUAUUAAAUACUGGAGAGUGUGGGAUAGGUAAGAACUAUCUUUACUUAGAAGGGACCAGUAAAACUUUACCUAAAAUACUCAAAAUGUCUUAUUUUGUAAAUUGCCUUGAGACAAAUCAAAUGAUUACAGCACGUCACUUAAGUAACAAAACUUAAUUCCAAUGAUGAUGGAUGUCUACGUAUAAUAAUAAUGCUUAUGAUAUCAAAUCACCUAACUAGCUAAUCCUCUUAUUUCCCAUUAUUAAAUAUUUAAGUAACUACAUAACUAAAUAAAUUAGUAUGUAUAUUGACCACAUAAAUUACAUACGAAUUGAUGUCUAAAGUUUGAUACUAACUUCUCUGUCUUUAUUUUCUAAGUUACAACAAAACAAGCAAGAACAACUUAACUCUUUUUCGUUUUUUAUUCUUUUAAUGUAAGAAACAAUUAAAUAACAUAGUAUAUGAUGAUUGCCACUGGCAAUGUAAAGAAAGAUUAUAUGAUAUAAGAAUAGAGUCCUUAUAGGACAUCACAUGUUCUUGGUUUUCAAAAUUCUAUGAUUUAGUUACUCGUUAUGAGUUUACAAGAAUAAAUAAUGUGGGGCAGAUUAUUGUAGGAACCAUUUGUUUCCAUGUGCGACCCAAUUCUAGUAGGGCCAAAUAACAGUGGGAGCUAAAAGCUAGUUUGCAUUAGGGCCAUGACAACGAUACAUUAUCUUAAACAUUUGGUUAAUACAAAAGUUAUCAAAAAAGACAAUUCAUAUGGCUUCGCCCGGGUUCGAACCGGAGACCUUCAGUGUGUUAGACUGACGUGAUAACCAACUACACCACGAAACCUUUUGACCUUUGAUAGAUUUACAAAUUAUAUCUACUUGUCGUUUCUGGAUUAGCCUUACCUUACUGUCGUCGUCGCUCUUCGCCGUAUUAGAACAGUACAUUUCGUUACACACCACACAAAGGAUUUGGUACGAUACAAAAAGGUUCUGUUGUUUUGAUACAAACAUGAAAUAUCUAAGUUUUGAUACAAAACAAAUGUUCAAUUGUUGCUACAAAACGUCACUGUCUUAUCAAUUUGUUGAUUGUUAUAUUAAACCUUACUGGUCACGAAAUCGCUGUUUGUAGCUUCCCAUAUAACAGUGCCAUCACAAGUACAAAGCUUUUUGUAGUUUUCUCCAACUCCUGCGCUUCUAGCUAUCACUGCUGCGGUCAAUCCUGGGCCUGACUUAUUAUCCUCGGUCUUGUAAACCACUACAGCUCGCCCAAUAAGAUCCGCAACCUUGAGCUUCUCUUUCUUUCCCGAAUAAAAGGCUUCCCCGUUCUUGUCUGCCUCUAGUGUUCCCAGGUCUCCCAAUGCCUGACAGAGGAAAACAAAAGACAAAUAUAGCUUUUGAGUUUUUAUAGGUUUGUGAAUUGUGAUGAUAUUAUCGUGAUUUUUAGAGUAAGCCUACCGACCUCUGUGCCAGUAUGAUCUUGAAACGGAUUGUACAAGUUCCCCGUGCUGGCUGCUCCCUUUGUGAGAUCUCCAUACUCAUUAAUAGUCCAGCUGUGGGUUCCGGGAGACAAACCAGUAAAGUUGGCUUCGAUUCUUGCAAGUUCCAUACUGACCUGAGCAAAUCGGACCACCCCGAAAAUGUCAGGGCCUUUGAAUUCCGCAACUGCAGCUGAGACUAAGAAAUCUGCCAAACACAUCACAAAGUUGAAGUAGCAAAUGAGAAAAUAGUCAUCUAUGAAAGACAGGACACGUAAUCGUAUAGUUAAAUAACCCCAAUCCAAUACUUCUAAUGAAUCAGAAUAGAACAAAGUGGCGGCAGUGUAUCAAAGAGUGAUUCACAGGUCAAAUCCCAAUGUAAAUUUUCUUAUCUUGUUUACUCCCAUCAUGAGCUGAGAUAAGAUAUCUUAAUUGUUUUGACUAGCAAAAUAGUCUUCUAAAACAAAAAAGCAGAAGAGAUAUCUAACCUUGAGGAACACCUUGUCCAAUUAACCGAGCUUUUCGACCUGUUUGCUCCAGAGCUUGGGUCAUAGCCUUAACAGGGGAAGAUCCAAGAAUCCUCACAACUUGGUUGGACAAAUCCACCUCCACGUUUUCAAUCCCUAUUAAAGAUCACAUUUCCAUAAUAAGCCGCAACAACAGAGUAAAUCAUAACCAAACAGACGAUAAAUAAAGUCCUAUUUACUAACCUUCAAUGGUUUCUAAUUUGUUCUUUACAGCAUUAACACAACCCUCACAUUUCAUAUCCACCAUAUACUCAGUCUGGGAACAACAACAACAACAUAUUAAAUUAGAGACACACGCCAAAAAUUCUCAGUAGCUCAAUCCAAAACAGCUUUAUCAAAUGAUUUGUACUGGAAAGAGAGAGAGAGACUUACAAGGAGCUGAGGCAUGACUCGAUCCUCCUGCAAAUCAAAUUCAGCUACUUAAGUACCAAUAAGAAAGCGAAAAAGGUAAAAUUGGAAAAAGGGUAAUUCAAAGUUUGAAUCUUUUAACGGAAACCUGAGGGAGAUUACGAUCAGAAGUGAGAGCAGUCGUCAUGGGAGAGCUAACGAAGCUUCGUGAAAGUCCUAAGCCACGUGGAGACGAUCGGGAGAGGAAGGAGAAAUUGAGAGAUUGAGAUUUGGGGUUGGUAGAGGAAGAAGAAGAAGAAGAAGGAGAGGAGAAAGCGAUCGCGAUGGGAAUCGCAGAAGCGGCGGCUACGACGGCUGAAGUCGUUGCCACUGACCUCAGAAUUGAUGCCAUUUUCUUGCUUCUUCAGCUUUUGCGGCUUUUUAUUGAUUUCUGACCCUUCACUACAAAUCUUUAAAUUUAUCACUUUUAUUUAAUCUGUGAAUAACAUUUGUAAAUACGGAAUUACUGAUAUAAUUAACGUGUUAAAUAUGAUGGUUAGUAUAACAAAAUUCAUCAAAUAUAUAUCUUCACCUAAUUUGUGAACAAAAUCAAUGUACAAUAAUUGUUGUUACUAGAAACAGUUAAAUAAAACAAAUUACACGUUUUAUCCAAAACCAGGAGGGAGUUCAGGGUCUUCUUCAUCAUCACUACAUGCUUCUCCUUUGUUUUUUUCUUCUAAAGCUCCUUGGAUCAGCUCUUGCUUCUGUUUACUCGCUGGACUGGUGUUGGAAUCAGCUCUUGAUUUUGGGACUGGUGUUGAAAUCUUAUGUUCCACUUCUCUAGAGGAUGAUCCGCAUUUCUCGCCUCCCGGGUUAGCUAGUGUAGCGUAGACAGAUUGUACGGUUUCUCUGAUUUCAUUCUUCAUCCCAUCCUCUGAUCUUAUUAUCCCCCAUAACCCAUCUGAGAGCUGGCUCAGCAUCUUGCUCCUAUAAGCAAAUAAUUCAAAUUCUUUAGUAAUGCUUGUCAUAAAUAGUUACAACAACAAGAGUCAAGCUAGAUAGCCUCUUAACUAACCCGACUUCUUUGAAUAUCGCAUCAGAGAGUUGCCUGGUUUUCAUAUUUUGAGCACCUGAUCGUUUUAAAGCUGUUGACUCCUUGACAACUGAAAUCAUCUUGUUUCGUAAUUCCUCCUGCAAUCCAGUUCCCACUUUUAAUAGUCAGAACACAAUGGCAAUACAUGCAGUCCAGAAGAACAAAUCGCAAGAUGUUUAUCCAGCUGAGAAGUAACCUUCACUCUAUAUAAAAGCUCUACUAAGUUACGGAAUUGACAAUGCCAACUCGAUGGAUUACUCUAAAGACUCCUCAGAGAUAAUGAACAAUAUUUCAGCUACUGGUAACUAGACUAACCAUUAAACAGUUCCCAAUAAGUAAAUACUGAUAAACAGCCGGGAGAAUCAGCCAUAAGCCCAUAGCUGUGAUCUAACACUUAAAAGAAAACUCUCUCCUCUAAGAUCUGAUUCAGCUAAGAACUACUUAAGGCAAUUUGGUAAACUCCCCAAUUCUCCAAAUCAUCAACGGUUUGCUUACUUCCACGUCUCUAAAGCAUCUUCAGAUACACUUAUCCCAAAUCAAGAUCAAUGACCAAACUAACUUUUCCUAUAUAAACGAUCGGAAUCAUCCCACAUCAGCACAAAUCUUCCCUGAGACGAAGCUAAUCAACUAAAACUAUCACCAGUGACAACAUUACAAAACAGUAAAGAAAACAUAGCAAAAGAUCUCAGAUCACUCAGACCCGAGUAGCUAACUGAGUAAAGUACCUAAAACCAAUCAUGGAGGAUUGAGCUCAGUCUAUAUGAACUAAAGGAGCAAACUUUGCAUCGAACUUUUAAAAAAAAUAUACUAAUUUCUCAAUUGUAUUCGCUAAUACUCAUGUCAAACUAAGUAAACAUUCCAAUUUUAUGAAUCGAGAGACUAUAAAAACACUAAUUAGAGAUGCAAAUCCGAAGACAGGAAAAGAAAGAGAAAUUAGGGUUUACGUUAUCCUUAAGGCGGCGUAUGAUCUUGAGGCGGAGACGGUCAAAAUCGCCGUCGUCCUUAAGCUUUUCUACAACUUCCUCUUUGCUUAUCUUCCUCGCCAUCGCCAAUCUUCUCCUUCCUUCCACUGGAUUUUUUUUUUUUUUUUUAAUCUUAAAGUCAAUUUAUUAGUUACGGUAUAAGUGAUAUACACACGGAUAAUUUUAAAUUUUUGUUAUUAAUCUUUAUUUACUCCAGAGGGGAAAUAUAUUACAGUAGUAAGAAAAUUAUUACAAAAUAUCAUGAAAAAAAUAGCAAAAACUAUAAAAAUAAUUUUUUUAUAAUCCAAAGGAAAUAUUAUGAAAAAAAUUUGGACAGAAAAGGGAAGUUUAAGCUAAAUAAUAUAGCACUAGUAUUAUUUUUAUGGAACAUAUCCCUAUAAGAUGGAAGUGUCACACCUAAUCUAGUCCUUUAUUCAUUAAAAAUAUCCACCGAUUAUUGCAAAAAUCAUCAUUUUUAGUAUAUUUCGAAGUGUCCCGAUUUUACCAAAAACGAUAUAUAUAUAAUAUAUGUAUAUAUAUAUAUAUGUAUAUAUAUUUCAAGUGUCCGCGUCAUCAUUCGCAAUUUGGACUCCAUAUUGGCCCCUAUAUGAUAUUUUGGAAUAUUAAACCCUUCUUAUGGUUGAGCAAAUUGUGAUUAACGAAAUUUUGUGUUACCAAAUCAUUAAAUUUUUAUACGUACGUACGUCGCUUGAAAAAGCUAUCGUGAUUACUAGCUUUCAACAUUUGUUGAUCUUUUUGUUUUGUUUUUGAAAGAGUACAUAUGAUGAUCUUCUUCAUGUAUAACGUAAUUUUCCAUUUAUCUCUUUAGUAGCCCUAUUUUUCUUCAUGCAAUGAUAUAAACUAUAAUAUUGUAGUUAUAAGACCCAACAUUAAAAGUCAGAGAAACAAAAUCGCUCAGAAAUUUAAGUUGAGAUUAGAAUGAUGAUAAGAUUUAUAUAUUUUUUAGUCCUGAUUUCACAUAUCUUAUACGACUAUAUACAUGCUUAACUUUUUACUGAUUAUGAUCUAAACAAGAGUAUCAUAUUAAAGUAUACGUUAGCCAACAACGAUUAGAUUUGCUCUGUAGAUCGUUAGACAUUUAGUAUUAUAUGUAAAUCGGGUCAUUGUCCCCGAAAUAAGUGCGAUCGAUUAUGUUACCAAACGUUUUAUUUAGACGCCAUGCAUGAUGCACGCAAUCAUGUCUAGCUAGUGAAAAUUUUAAUCAAACAUAUAUAUAUAUAUAUAGUAUCAUCCUUAAUUAGUACUUUUUUUUUUAUUUCUGUGUGCACAGCAAUGAAAUUGACAUAAACUCUUAAAAUAACCAAUUUUUUCGUUGAUGGAAAAGCAAGUACCGCAAGAAUAUAAAUAUAGGGCCUAUGAUUGAUUAUAUGUGUUCUAGGCGGCCUAGCUAAGAAUUGAUUAAUGUUAUUUCGGUAUCUUUUGGCAAACUAGAAGAUGACAUAUAUAUAAUUGACUUUUUAAUAUUGCAAUUUGCAAGUUACCGUUCGAGUAGUGAAGUUUUUCACACAUACUAAACAGUUAGCUAGAUAAUUAACAACAAUACAUAUGGCCUAUAAACUCAAAAAAAAAAAAAAAAAAACAAGAUGAAAAAGUCAAUAUAUUUACAGACGAACAUAAGAGUAGUAAAAAAUGCUAAGAAAUUAAUUGAAACAGUUUUUCCUUUCUUACACAAGAAAUGUAUUUGAAACUGUUUUUGCUCUUUCCUUUGGAUUUUUACAUUAUUGUUAAGUUAAAAAUCAUUUAUCAAAUUCAGGAACUUACUGUCGGAUGAAACACAUUUUAAAUGUAAAUUUCCUUGCGUAACUAUAUAUUAAUCAAUUAUAGCCACUAAAUGUACAGCACUCAGAUGAAUAAAUCGUUUAAAAUGCCUUCCAAAUUCAAUAUUUUUAAUCUUUUAUAAUUAGUAUCACUCACUCAAUCGUAUCUUUCGGAGAUUUUAAUGUUGUUUUCUUUGAUGUCACAAAGUUUUUUUUCAAAGAAAAAGAAGUUGAAUAUAUUGAUCAUCGUGCGAAAGUUUUAAAAAAGAAAAAAAAAAAUCUUGGAUGAUAUAAAAUGACUAACAUCAUUGUUAUAGAAAUUCUACACCAAAAAAAAGAAAGAAAAACAAUAGAACUCACUCAACCACCAACCAAAAAAAAAAAAAAAGGCAUCAUUUAAUGGAUUUUGCAGAUUCUUCAUCCUUCACACUAGAUUUUGCUAAUGAAAAUUAUCUCGAUUUCUCUAGUUUGAUCACUCCUUCAACACUUAUAUCAUUCCAAGAACCUAAUCCAUGUAAUCCCAUCAUUCAGAACGAUGGAAGACAAAAGGUUCGUGAGACGACCAUGGCAAGUGAAAUCAGGAAAGGGGACGAUGAGCCGAAGAACAAGAGAGCUAAACAUAAGGAUAUUGAGAGACAAAGAAGGCAAGAAGCCACGACUCUUUACAAGAGUCUAAGGUUUAUAUUGCCAUCUCAUUACAUUAAGGUAAGUGAGUGUUACUAUUCGUCUAUUCUUACUUAUCCUCUUAAUUAGAUUCCUAUACAAACUUUUCUUUGGUUUGACUAAUCUAAUCACAGUAAUGAAAAUUUGGCUUAAAUAGGGUAAACGUUCUUCGUCAGAUCACGUUGAAGAAGCUGGGAAUUACAUCAAAGACUUACAGAAGAAGAUCAAAGAGAUCAGUGAGAAAAGAGACCGAAUCAAGAGCACUGUUACUCAUCGUUCUUCUUCGACAAGCAGAUGUUCUUUAAGACCAUUAGCAUCAUCAACAUCGUCAACUUGUUCCUGUUUUGGAGACACACACAUGGCUGUUGUGGUUAGGCCUUGUUUGAUCGGACUAGAGGUCGUAGUAAGUUGUUGUCUCAGACACGAAUCUUUUCUUUCAAGUGUUCUUCAGCUUCUGACUCAAGAGCAAUAUUGUCUUAAUGUUGUUAGUUGCAUCUCAACUAGACAGCCACAAAGUUUCAUACACACCAUUGUUUCUGAGGUAAUUUAAUAUUUUAUAAAUAUAAUUCUCUACUGAAUUAUGAUGUUAAUUAAAGAGGGUGUAGAUAUUAUCAAUAAUUAUUUUACGGAAGUGCUUAAAAUUGUGCAGGUCGUGGAGGGAAUUGAGGUUUAUCACUCAGAGAUUCACGAAAAGAUAAUGAAGAUGGGAAGAAGUUCAUAUGAAUAUUUAUAUUAACUUUUGUUUCCUGGAUUUUUCUUUUCAUGAAUAUAUUUUCGAUAAAGGAAAUAAUGUAACUUGACAAAACAAAGAAGAAAAACUGUUAUUAUAAUCACGUCUUCCUAAAUGUAGUGUUCAGUAUAUCACCAUGACUUUUGCAGAGUAUGAUGAUACUAUCAUCAUCCACCAACAUGGUCAUGUUCAUAAUUAUCAUAGAAGAAGAGAUCAAAUUGAAUGGACCAAGAUUUAUAGCUUUUGAUGAUUUCUGUUUGAGCUUGAAACGAUUUCUGACUUCUCCACAAGUAUUAUACUAUACAUAUAUAUGUGUUAAUGUGAUCGUGGUAUCAUCAUCAUCCGUGUUUACCAUAUAGUAUAUGUUAAAAAAUAUCACAUCCGAAAAUGAACAAUGAAAAGUUAUUGAUUGUCAUAUUUAUGUUGAUAAUUGUCGAACAGUGUUGACUAAAUUCCAUCCCUAAAUUGGAUUUCCUGUUUAAUUAAUGAUUCCUUGAUUGAUUAAAUUAAUAACCAGCUAAUAAUCAGUUUUGUUUUGUGCUCGUUAACUAAAAAUUGAUAAAAGUAUGACCGAUGUUUCAAUCUUUUAUUAGAUGCCAUGCAAUCAUCAUGGAUAUAAAAGAAUAGAAUUAAAGUAUUUUUUUCCCACUAGUUGAUAUAUAAACAUAAACCAUUUAACUUUUCGCAUGAAAGUGACAUAAAAUCCUAAAGUAUCAAGUUUUUUUCCUUAGUGGAACUGGAAACAGUACCGAAAACAUUUUAGUAUAAGUCUAUGAUUAAAUUUUUGUUGGACGGCCUAAGUAUUAAAUAAUAUCGUUUGCCAUUUUUGUAACCCUGCUUGGUGAUACAAAUCAAUGACAAUAAAGGAAACCUUUUAUAUAUACAUAAACAAUGACAAUAGGGGAGCUGUCUAUCUCUCAGAGUGUGGGUGGGUUAAAAGAUCACGCAUCAUGCAAUCUAUUUUGUAGCUCAAGGUCCUCCAAAUUGGCUGAUUAAAAGGACCUCUUAAAUUAGAUGAUAACAUGAAGAUGGAGGAGAUGAUGGUUAGUGACGAAUGGAAACCAAACAAGGAAAAAAAGACCAAGUAAGAUGUUGAAGAAGAUAUCAAAAGAAGCACCAUAGAUAUUAGAGGAGAUGAAAGAAGAAAAAAUGAAGAAAAACUAUCCUACAUUUAAGUAUAUAUGCAGCACAUUUUAAACAUAGGUUAACCUAGCGUAAUUAAUAGCCAUUAGCCACUAAAUGAACAGCUCAAGGGGUUAAAUCUUUUUAAAAGCCUAUCGAAAAACAGCUCAAGGGGUUAAAUCUUUUUAAAUAUUUUAUCUAGUAUUCACCCACUCGCUCGUCCGGUCCGGGCGUAAAACUUGUCGGGGGGAAAUGUCUUUCCCUUUCUUUUCUUUUGUGAAGACAAAUUUGCCGUCACAGGCAGCGUUGGUAUAAUAGAGAUUAUUAGAAAACAUAUAUAUAUAUAUAUAUAUAUUAAAACUCAAGAGAACCCAAUGACUCUUUUAUCACCACCAAAAUUCCCACCACAAGAAGAGAAAAAAAAAAAAACGAAAGAUACAUCAUAGCCCUAUGGAUUUUUCAUCUUCUCCAUUGUGCACACCUGAUUUUGUAUAUGAAGACGAAUUAGAUUUCUCUAGUUUGUUUUCUCAUUCAACACUCCAAGAACCUAAUAAUCCAUCUAUUCCGGUUACUCAUAUUGAAGCCGGCGGAAAGAAAAUAAUUUGUGAAAUCACAAAAGAGGACCAUGAUGAACCGAAGAACAAGAGAGCGAAACUUAGAGAGAUUGAGAAACAAAGAAGGCAAGAAGUCACGUUUCUUUUCAAGAAUCUAAGACAUAUAUUGCCAUCUCAGUACAUUAAGGUAUAGACAUAUUACUUAAUAAUUUUCGUCUUUACUAAUUGGAUCCUUAAACAAAACCUAAUUAGUGAACGAUAAAUAUUUAAUUUUAUGAGAAAGUUGUUAAAACUGUGUAGGUGGAGGAGGGAAUAGAGGUUUAUUUCUCAGAGCUUGAAGAAAAGAUAAUCAAAUCAUGGUUAGGUUUAUACUGUGUAUUAUUUCCGGUAACAAGUAUGUUUGUAAAAAUAUAUAUGAAAUUAGUGGAAUUAUCUGUUUUUACUUAAAUUUAUAUGGAUUGGCAAUUGUUCGAGAUAUUAUAGUUUAUAUUUUUCUGGUCUUUUGAUUUGCAAAAUAAUGAUAUGUAAAUUGCAGGAUUCAUGUUUCUUAUACUAAUUGUUUGUUCAUUUGCCUUUGUUAGACAUGUCCUUAUCAAUGUUUAUUAUUAUUUUUUUGUUAUGUAAAGAAUUCAAAAACUAACAUAGCAGAGAAGCUAGAAGUAGAAAAAAAGUAUAACAAUACAUAUGACCACUUCUCCAUUGUUUUUUUCCAACACUCAUUGUACUAAUAGUUCUAAGUUUUUCAACUAUUGGUACAUAAAGAAGGCACAUGGUGACCCAAAAAAAAAAAGAAAAAAAAAGAGAGCCACAUACAGUCGUUCAUGUCAUUAGAAAAAUAAAAUAAAACCAAAGCUCCCAAUGGUUUUCCAUUCUCAUGGAGUCAUGGGAUCAUCAUCUUUUCCUUUCUCACUGAAAACCCUCACUUAAAUUCACCAUGAUGUGACGUACCAUUUGACAUUGCUAGAGUAGAAUAAAGAUCGUAAUGAGGUUAAAAAAUAUAUUUCCUAGAUGACUUUUAUAUUAUGUUAUAGGGGCGGACUUCUUUGAGGAAAUCGAAAGUAGCACCCAUUGGAGUAUGUGAAGUAAGAUUUGAUAGUAAGCAAUAUGUUUG